rnacentral:lncRNA from 1 species
AAUCAUUGAGAUUUUACUUUAGGUUUUGAAUGAGCUAUUAUUAAAUUAGACUUUUAAAAUUAAUUAUUGACCUUAAUUGAUCUAAUAAAUCUACAUAAAUACACCACUCUAUUAAAUUAAAAACAUAAAAUCAUCCUACUAAAUAUUUUAAAUCUUAGUUACGACAAUAAAAUUUAAUAAAUUUGAUACUUUGCACCACUUAAAAACAACAUAAAUAUUUCAAAAAGAAAGACAACAACAAUGAGUUUCAAAUUCGAAAUUUUCAAAUUACACAUAAGGUUUCAAAUGAUUCAUAACUUUUCAACCAACCAACUGUAAUACAAGACAUCACCCCCACUUAAAGACACAGUACUAGGAGAAAAUAAAAUGAUCAAUCAAAUAGACUAAUAAUCCAGUCAGAUCUAAAUUAAUCUGAAUACCUUAUUGAUCAUAAAGAAUGCAUAUAAUCUAAUCUAAUCUUAUGAUAAACAAAAAACAAAAGCUAGUCAAGAAAGAAAGAAAGCCUACACAUUAGGAACAAAAACUACAAAGUUACAAAGCUAGUCAAGAACGUCAUAUAUCCUACCAGUAACCAAAAAAUUGAAAUUUUCAUGCAACUAAUGGCGUAAACUUGGCCUCAGAUUUUUCAACCUUAAGCUAAAAUACAUUAACAACAACUUGUGGUUCUUUUCCAUUUGCUGAGUUUAUCAAGAAACAAACAUGAAAACACAAUACGCAUAUCCAUGAAGCUAAUUAGUACAAUAAACACAAGUGUUAUCCUCCACAAGUUUUAAUUGAACCGAUUUUAUGAAAGAUAACACAAUCAGAUUAAACAAAGAAAACAAAAAAAUAAACAAGCAAACAAAAUAACAAACUCACCUCACUAGAUUUUCGACUAACACCAAAACAAUGAAGAGCAGCAAAGAGAGAAGGAGAGGGAGAGCGACAAAGAGAGAAGAAGAAGAGGAAAGAAAGAGGUAUAGAGGGAGAGGAGAAUGACUGCAUGCUACACUGCUACUAGACCUUGUAAUAUUUAGGUAGUUAUGUAAUAUGGACCAAACAAUAUUCAAAAAGACCUAAUUCUUUUAUUCAUAUCAAACUACAUCUUUUCACAUUUUCGGUUCGAUUUGGUCUAUACAGUUUUUUGGACACAGUAAUCGAACCGAACCGUAUUGACCGAAUUAUUCAAAUCGAACCGACUUUUAUAUUUCAAAUCGAUUCGGUUCGAUUUUCCAGUUCUACCCAAAUAGUGCACCUCCCUAGUCUAAAAAGUAAAGAUGCGGAAUUGAUUAGUGAGGAGAACAGCAAAGCCGAACGACGAUGUUUAGACCGUGUUUGUUCUUCUUUUUUCCUCUUUCUAAAGUGGUAUGUUUGGGCCCUCCAUAUAAAUGGGUUUUUGGUUUUUAGCGUUAAUAUGUAUAUGUAUAGUUUUGCUAGUCCCGUAAAUUAUUAAUAUAAAUAUUUUAAUAUAAAUAUUUUCUAAGAUAAAUAAUAUUUUAUUAAAUCUUUUUAUUAUCAUUAUAUACUUUAUAAAUUUAAUGGAUAUUCAAUUUCCAAAAAGACUAAUAAAAUUGAACACAUAAAUUAAUAUACUAGCUAAAUUAUUUAAAUUUCAGUAUAAAGAUAUAUAUAGGGCGAGUAAUUCAUCAAUAUUUAUUCUUUCUCAUAAGAAAAUAUAUACGAUUAGAAUUGAAUUAAAUUAAUUAUUAAUUAAUUUAAAAUUAUAAAAAGAUGAAUCACUAAUUAAUUCUAUUAAAGUUAGAAAAGUUAAAUUAUUUACAUAUAAAAAUUAAUAUAAGAUCAAUAAGAAUACUUUAGUCGGUCUAAAUAUUUUUUUUUGUGUUUUCAUAUAUUAUAAAUUAUAUAUAUAAAAGGGUUGUGUAUACAAAUUUCCUUUUUUAGCAAGUCAAUAUCAGAAACAAAACACUUAAAAGAAAAUCUCCUUUUAAGUUAAUUUUUUUUUACAAAAAUACGCUUUUAAUUUCCAACUCCAUUUCACGUGUUUUUUUUCAAUACUAACAUUUCCAUUUCAAGUAUUUUUGUUAGUGCCACAUGUAUUGUCCUAGAAAAAGCAGAUUUUAUGCCAUCUUUUCAUACUUUUUUCUUUACUCAUUUAUUUUUAAUUUUUAAAAUUUACUAUUUUUUCUAGUAUUUUUUUCUAACCCUAUAUUAUCAAUNNNNNNNNNNNNNNNNNNNNNNNNNNNNNNNNNNNNNNNNNNNNNNNNNNNNNNNNNNNNNNNNNNNNNNNNNNNNNNNNNNNNNNNNNNNNNNNNNNNNNNNNNNNNNNNNNNNNNNNNNNNNNNNNNNNNNNNNNNNNNNNNNNNNNNNNNNNNNNNNNNNNNNNNNNNNNNNNNNNNNNNNNNNNNNNNNNNNNNNNNNNNNNNNNNNNNNNNNNNNNNNNNNNNNNNNNNNNNNNNNNNNNNNNNNAAAAAUAAAAUUCAAUAAAUUUUAAGAAAAUAAAAAUAAAAUAAUUCUUUAUAUAAUAAUGAGAGAGAUCAAAUGAAGAAAGAAAAGAAAAAAGAGGUUGAGACCCACAAGAAAAAUAAUAACAGUUUAAAAAAAAAUAUUGAAGACAAUUAUUCAUAAAUAUGAAAAUCAACCAAUAUAAACAAAACAUUAGUCAAACAUCAAUCAAACGUCAACCAAAAAUCAACAAAAUCAUUCAAAAUAACUAGUUAUAUAAUACAAAAGGCACUUAGUUUGACUUUAUUUUUCUUCAUGUUUCUACAACAUAUUUUUCUUUUCUUGGAUCAAUCUCUUUUCUUUUUCUCUAUAAAAAAAUACCGAUCAACUUGUCAAUGCAACCUAUUAUUAUUUUUUCAAUUUUGUUAUGUAUAUAUAUUAAAGAAAAAAGAAAUAGGUUAUUUAAGAUUGCUUUUGUGAAGGUAUAUAUAUUAAAUAUGGUUGGAUUUUUAUUGUUUAUUGUAAUAAUAUAUAUUUUUAUUUUAUUUAGAUUUUUUUAGUGGUACUUUAUUAAUUUAAUAAUUUUUAGAACAUUAAAUAUUUUGAGGUAUAUGUAGACCUGCUAAUUUAUUUUUCAUUAAUUAUAUUUGAGUUAUUUAUUUUUCUUAAAUUAUUUUAUUAUUAUUUCUACUUUAAUUUGUGCACUAUAAUAUUACGAGAAAAGCCACAAUACUUGUACAAAUAUUAAAAAAAAUCUUACCAAUCUCAACGUACUAAAGCAACUAAUAAAAGAUUAUGCAAAACUUUCACCAGAUGACUCAGUAGAAGUAAUAAAUUUUGAAUAAAAUAUUUACUGUUUAAAAUUGCAAUGAAAUACAUAAAAAAAUUAAAAUUAACAAAUAUAUAUAUACUUGUUAUAUUUAUUUACGUUAGCAUAUAAUACCUAUAGAAAUCUCUCAAAAAUGUAUUAUAUGUUUUAUUUAUAAAAGACUAAUAUAAGUGUAAAUAAAAAUAUUAUAAAAUUAAAAAUAAAAUUUAUUUUUAUACUAAUAUAAUUAUAAAUUAAAUUAUAUAUAAUAUACAAGAUAAAAUUUUAAAUAUAAAAUUAAUAAAAUAAUUAUGUAUGAGCAAAUUGCUAGUCUUUAUCAUUACAAGAAAGUAAAAAAUGAAGGACUCCAUGACAUGUGGCUAUUAUUUCAAAUAAUGAAAUUAACCUCUCCACUCAAAUCAAACUUUACUAAUUUGCUGGUCUACUAAUUUUUAUACUAAAACAUGGGUCACUCAAGUAGUAUAGUAGAAAAGCGUAACAUAUAAUGUUAAAUUGUAAAAAUAUAACAAAACAAAACAAGAUGGAUUUUUACAGUUAUUUUUAAAUUUAGACGUAUAUAGUAUAAAUUUCUCCAUAAAAAAAUGNNNNNNNNNNNNNNNNNNNNNNNNNNNNNNNNNNNNNNNNNNNNNNNNNNNNNNNNNNNNNNNNNNNNNNNNNNNNNNNNNNNNNNNNNNNNNNNNNNNNNNNNNNNNNNNNNNNNNNNNNNNNNNNNNNNNNNNNNNNNNNNNNNNNNNNNNNNNNNNNNNNNNNNNNNNNNNNNNNNNNNNNNNNNNNNNNNNNNNNNNNNNNNNNNNNNNNNNNNNNNNNNNNNNNNNNNNNNNNNNNNNNNNNNNNNNNNNNNNNNNNNNNNNNNNNNNNNNNNNNNNNNNNNNNNNNNNNNNNNNNNNNNNNNNNNNNNNNNNNNNNNNNNNNNNNNNNNNNNNNNNNNNNNNNNNNNNNNNNNNNNNNNNNNNNNNNNNNNNNNNNNNNNNNNNNNNNNNNNNNNNNNNNNNNNNNNNNNNNNNNNNNNNNNNNNNNNNNNNNNNNNNNNNNNNNNNNNNNNNNNNNNNNNNNNNNNNNNNNNNNNNNNNNNNNUAUGGGUCUAGGAAUAACCCAACCAACAGUCAGCCCAACUACAUGGGCCGUCCAACCACGAGCCUUUUUCCACAUAUGAAUGUAAUUAAUAUAUUGAUUAAGAUAUUAACAAAGUUUUCUUAUGUUAUUAAUUAUAAUUUUCAUUAUAGUUAUUUAAUGAUUACCAUAUAUAUUUAAAUCGGUGUUUGUCGAACUUUAUACAUAUGAAUAACUUUUAUAAGUAAAAAAAAUCUUAAUUUAAAUUUUAUAAAUUAAAAUAUUUAUAGCUAAAAUAAUAAUAAUAACCUUGCAAAAAGCUAUUAGAUGAUCAUUUUAUCUAAAAUUUGGUCUAUAAUGUUUUUUAUUUUACUUUUGCCUAUAAAUAUCAAUUGUUUAUUCUUUUUAUAUUAAUUAAUAGAGAUUUAGAAUUAAGAAUAUCAAUUAAUAAAAAAUGUAAUAUUUUAAUUAAAACAAAGAAAUGUAAAAUAUUAUUGUUUAGAUAUGAAAUCAACUUUUUUUUGAGUUACACAUUUAAAUAAGUGAAGAGUUUAUGUGAUAACUCUUUAUAUAGGUCAAUGAAGGUGCUCUUAAUCUAAGUAUUUGAUUAUGUCUUAUUAAUGAAGGUACUUAAAUUUAUUUGAUGUAAUAUUCGAUAUUCACGGGUUAUUAACACAAUUAUGCCAUUCUUUUUUUUUUCUUUUGUUGAAAGUGUUGGUUUGAGAAGAACCUUCAAAAGCUGUUACUUAUAUAAGAAGCAUUCCACCGUUUUCUUCAUCCAUAACGUCACUCCUCUCUUCUCUUCCUAUUCGUAAGUCACAACUCUCACUCUCUAUUUUUAACAUCUUUCUGUACUAUGUGCAAAUUAAUCAUUACCAUCCUCUUUUUUCUUUUUCUUUUUUGGCUUUUCUUUUUCAAUCUUUAAAAGUUGUAAUGCUACUUUGUCGGUAAUGGCGGAAGAAGAGAAGAAGGCUUUUGAUGAAAAUGAAGCAGCACUGCUGGUUAAAGAGCUUAGAGAAAACUUUAACUGUAACAAGACAAAGAGUUACAGAUGGAGAGUGUCACAAUUGGAAAGUAUUAAAAAGAUGAUUGAGGAAAAGGAAAAGGACAUCUCUGAAGCUCUUUACAAAGACCUCGCAAAGCCUGAACUCGAAGCCCUUACUACUGAGGUGCAACUCUAUUUUCCCGUAUAUCUUCCCUUUAUUGUUUUUUAUUAUUAUUUUUUAUUUAACCGAGUUUAGAAUUUGGAUUUGAAUUCCGCACAUCACAACUUUAGAGAAUUAAUUUGGUUUGCACUGAAACGAAAGUGCAAAACAUGACAAGAUAAAAACAAGAUUUUCUAAAACAAUCACAUAAAAUGAGUUAUAAUAGAACUUUUAAAGUGACUAAAAUAGCUUUGGUAAUUUUAUCUUAAUUCUAUAUAUAAUUAUUUUAACUUUUUAAUUCGAAUAGAAUUAAUUAAUGCUUAACCUCUUAAUUCUAAUAGAAUUAAUAUAAUUCAAUUAUAAUCCUAUAAUAAUGUCAUUUACAUUCCUAAUCCUAUAAAAAAUUGAUGAAUUACUAUAUAUCACAUUUUAUAUAUAUAACUAUAAUAGAGUUUAAAUAAUUCAAUACAAAUUUUUAUAAGAAUUGGAGACAAAAAAUCAUUAAAAAAAGAUAUGAUAUUUUCAAUUUAAUUUUAUUGACAUAUUAAUUCAUUUGUUCUUAUUAUUAUAAUACUUCAUUAGUAUGAUUAUUUAUUAUUUAAUAUUAUAUUAUAUACUAAUUUAUUAAAUAACUUAUAUGAUACCAAAUGAAGCCGAGAGUUGUUCAUUCUAAUAAUUUUCAUACUGUAAACUCAAGGCAAGAUAAAUCCUCAAGCUAAGACCAAGUGAAGGCAACUUUGCCAUGAAAGGUCUUUGUGCUCUUUCGGAUUCUUGUAACCGAGUUAGUCCUUUUGAAUUAUAAAAGAACAUAUCGUGCAAGCUAAAAACUCAUAGCCAAAGGAUCGAGAGGAAGAGAUGAAGAGUUUAGAAAGCCAUAAGAAAAUUUUUAUUUCUUGAUAGAUGAAAAGAAGACUGCUUGCCUACACUACUCAAGACUUCUCUUUAUAUAGAGGAGCCUUAUUACAAUAAGACAGUAAAGAUAAGAUGUGAAUCUUAUCUUUUUACAUGCGUACACAUAGAAAGAAAAGAUAAGAUUACACACUUUACAUAAAGAUAGAUAAGAUAGAAAAUCUUAUCACAUGCACAAAAGGACAGAGAAAAUAAUACACAUAUUAGGACGGAAAAGAUAAGAUAGGAAUCUUAUCUUCCUACACAUUUUUCUCAAUUAUUUUAUGAAUUAUGGAGGAGAGAGAUUGGGUGUUGUGUUGUCUUCAUUGCCAGCAAAAAAGGUUGGUUACUAUGGACCACUAUCAUCGUCUAGGGNNNNNNNNNNNNNNNNNNNNNNNNNNNNNNNNNNNNNNNNNNNNNNNNNNNNNNNNNNNNNNNNNNNNNNNNNNNNNNNNNNNNNNNNNNNNNNNNNNNNNNNNNNNNNNNNNNNNNNNNNNNNNNNNNNNNNNNNNNNNNNNNNNNNNNNNNNNNNNNNNNNNNNNNNNNNNNNNNNNNNNNNNNNNNNNNNNNNNNNNNNNNNNNNNNNNNNNNNNNNNNNNNNNNNNNNNNNNNNNNNNNNNNNNNNNNNNNNNNNNNNNNNNNNNNNNNNNNNNNNNNNNNNNNNNNAUCAGGUCCAUUGUAAGUACAGAUAAGUGGUGUAGAGACAUUGGUCCUUCCUGAAUCAUUUCUUAAUUGUAGAGUGAGCUUUAAUUCCCUUGUUAUUGGUGGAGGAGCAAGAUGUAAGGGCAUUUCAAUUGUUCUCCAAUAUUGACAGAUGUUUUGGGUGGCAUAUGUAUCUUCUGAGAGCUUAAAGUAAGGCCUGUGAAGAAUAUAGAUGGCAUGAUAUCCUGAAGCCUUGAAGUUAUUGUCUGUGAACAAUUUAUUUUCAAGAAUGAUUUUGAGGAGAUUCUUUUUUCAUUGAUAUGGGGUUUUGAACCAAGUGAGAUAUUUCCAUGGAUAUGUCCCUGCAUUUGUAUCAAUAUUGAAGAAGUAUAGGAGGUCCAUGACUGGCACUUCUAUAGCAUGAUAACAAACUAUGGAAAGACACCAUAGGAACCAUAGUUCACUUUUAAUUUAUGGAUGGGUAGGAGAAAGGUGAUAGAUUAAGCACCAAGGGUAAUCUGGAUAAAAGAAAUUGGGUUGGAUAGGUAGUGAGAAAGUCUGUUGGAUGAUUGCCAAAUAAUGGACCAUCAUAUUUUUGGCAAAAUUGUUGACCUGUUUCGUUGUGAGAUUUGUAGGAAGAUCUGGUGGUGAGGGAAGUUGCCAAGGCUUUUUUGAGGACGUAGAGGCCAUGAAGAUUAUCGGGAGAGUAAUUAUUGAGGUGAGGAGGACAAUAGGUUGGGGUUUUGGUUGUGGCUUUGAUAAUUUGGAUAAGAAAUCUGGGAUGAGGUUUUUUGUUCCUUUUAUAUGCUGGACUUCAAAAUCAUACCUGCUAAACCAUGACUUUAACCUUAAUAAUUAUGGUUCUGGUAAGGCUUUCUGAUUGGAUUCAAGAAUCUUUGGAAAUGAGGAGUUAUCCAUUCGAAUCAAGAAGUGUUGACCGAUCAGAAAGAAUUCAAACAUUUUUAUCCCAUAUUUGACUGCCAUAAUCUCUUUAUAUGUUGAAUGGUAAUGCUUCUCUGCUGGAGAAAAUUGUCCUGAUGCAUGUCCAUACAGUUUUUCCUUGUCAUUGAGAUUUUCAAGAAGAAUUGCCCUCCAUGUGUGAUCUGAUGCAUCUGUCUGUAGGAUAAGAUGUCCUGUAGACGGGAUGGUAAGCGGUGGAGGAUUCUGAGCCAAUUCUUUCAAUCUUUUGACAGUUAUUGUUUGUUCUGUUCUCCAAGAGGGGGGGGGGGGGUUCUUUUUGAGCAUUUUGGAAAGAUGACAUGUGUAACUGUAUAGAUGUGGUAUGGCUUCCCUGACAUAGUUGAGUAUCUCAAGAAAUUGCUGGAUUUGCUUUACAGAGAGAUUCUCAUCUGAAAAACUAUCAAGCUCUUUUGUCAAGUAUGAACCAUACGUAUAUUGGCCGUCCUUAAAAUGCAUUCCAAGGAACUCUAUCUCUUGCUGGCCAAUAAUACUCUUCUUCUCUGAAAGCAUUAUUCCGUACUUCUGGAUGAUAGCAAUGAAUUAUUUCAGGAGUUGAUGAUGUUCUUCAGCUGUUUCUGAGAAUAAGAGAAUAUCAUCAAUGUAGAUUAGGGAGGAAUAGAGGAUAUGCUCAAAGAUUUCUAUCAUUGUUUUUUGGAACUGAGAAGGGGCUGUUUUGAGCCCAAAAGGCAUGACUGUCCAUUGGUAUUGGGCAUUUAGGAUACAAAAGGCUGUUUUAUAUCUUUUUGAGGGAUGGAUACCCAAUUGCCAAAAUCCAGCUUUAAGAUCAAAUUUUGAAUAGUAUUGGGCCUUCUGAAUAUGGACUUUUAGGUUCGAGAUGCGAAGAAGAGGAAACUUGUUAUCUUGCAAAAAAUGAUUCAGAGGCUUGUAAUCAAUAACAAGUCUCUUUUUUCUUCUUAGUUUUUCAGAUCUUUUUUCCACGUAAAAGGCUUGAUAUGCCCAUUGUGAGGUUGUGGGCUCGAUGAGGUCUUGUUGUAGAAGAGUCAGGCACUCGGAUCUGGCAAGAGCUAGGUCUGUAGGAGACAUUCCUAGAUGGGUGCUUUUAGUUGGAUUGACAUCUUCGUUAAGCUUGAAAGGGAGGUUGAUAUAGAACUGGGAAUUUUUCCACAAGGGUAGUGGAUGUUGAAAAUGUGCAUGGGAUUCUGGACAGAAAGAAAGAAAUUUUUCCUUAUAUUGCAGGAAUGGUGGUUCUGUGUCUGCUAUGGCGAACAGAUUAGAAGUAUCUGUAUAUGGACAGAAUUGCCUCUUGAACUUUAUUCCAUUGGAAAGAAUUUGAAGCCUUUGAGCUUGAUGAUAAACAUCAAAACCUAUUAAGAGGUCUUUAUUUGGGAGAUCUAAGCCAAUGAUGUGCGUCCAUACCACACAAUCAGGAAAGGACUGUAUCCCGAUUUUUUAUUUUGUGAUAAAGGUAGUCUUGAAAGUCUGGCCAUUUGCUGCUCUGAAGAACUGAAUAUGAGAUUUCCAGUGCUUAGACGGGAGAACUUCAGGAUUCAUCAUGCUUCUUUGAGCUCUAGUGUCAAAGAAAGCUAUGACUGAGAUAGGCUUUGAAUACCUUGAAGGUAAGACUUGUAUAGGAACAUAAGGUACUAGAGGUACCUUAGUAGCAAGUUGAGACAACUGGAAAACCGAAGAUGGGGAGAAAGGAUACUGCAUCAUAUUUGCUAGUAUGUCCUUUUAUUCUUUUGAGAAAAGACUGAUCAUCAAGAUUGGAAUCUCAUCAGCAUCAUAAUCUGAGGAGGAUUAUUUUGAGGAAUCAGUAGAAUCUGAAUGUUCUUCCUCUAUACCAAAGAGACUUUCUGGAGUGAGAUCGUCUUGUUCCGAUAAGAGAGACUCUAUAUCUUUUUCAAAUGAGUCUGGUAGAGACAUGGACAUGCUAACUUGCUGGAUCAUUCUUGCUACCUUUUUCAGAUUUUAAGGGUAAUCUUUAGCAUAAUGUCCCUUCUUUCAGUAGAUGUAGCAUUUUUCUGAUUUGUUGCCUUGAUUUUUCUUUUUCUGGAAGUAUUUGAACCUCUUUGUAUAUGGCCUUUUCUUUCUGAACUCUUUGCUUCUAUUAUGAGGGUAUUUUUGGAAAUGCUGUCUGAUUUUCUUCUUGUGACUGGAGCAGACACAAUUGGAGGACUUAUAUUUAAUCUUGAGGUGGCUUUUGUUGCAGGCCUUUUGAACAAUCAAAACUCGUUGAGACAGUCUCUUGAAUAAUUCUUGCUGGUCAUAUAAUCUUUUGAUAGAGGAGAGAGUAAACUGCCAGAUUUCUCCAAGAGUAAUUGAGGUAACUGGCUUCUUUGUUGCGGCGAUCAUGUUAUUAACUUCUGGUUGAAUCUCAUAUGGUAAUGAGGUGAUGAAAGUAUACUUUAAUGUAUCAUCAUUGUCAUGCCCACCAAUGAUAUAAUACAAUUUGGACAUUGCAGAAUAAUAUCUUUCCAGAUCCUUGAUUUUUAACGAACAACAUUUUCGAUCAAAAUAUUCCUAUUUCUGUUGUCGUAUAAUGAGAUCAUAGCUUCCAAGGAACUGAUNNNCUUCGGGCCGGGCUUGGACAAUAAUUUUUGUGUACAAACCCAGCCCGGCCCGAACCCAUAAAAAGCUCGAACUUUUCGGGCCAGGCUUGGGAUUUCCAUAAAAACCCAAGCUCGGCCCGAUGUUUAGUUUAAUUAGGAAAAAGAAAUGUCAUACCUAGCAUUCGAACCUGUGACCUUCAACUUAUAAUUAAGUGCUACAUACCACUUAGCUACCCAUUAUUUCUGUCUAUAAUUUUAUUGUUAUUAAUAAUAUAUUUAAAUAAAACGAAACUCAAGCCCGACCCGAACCCGCCAAGCCCCACCCAAACCCGUAUUUAUAGGUUUAACAAUUGGUCUGGCCGGGCCGGGCUUUUUCAAAAAUUUCGGGCUCGGGCUUGGGCUAAGAGAUAUUAAAAAAUUCUCGGGCUCGGGCUUGUUCAAAAUAAAGUCAAGCCCGGUCAGGCCCGGCCCAUGAACAGGUCUAACCUCAGCUGAUGGAGUGGGCAAAGUCACGAAUUGGAGACUGGUGUAUUCAGGCUGUGACUGGAACCAAUGCCUUAAACUGCCUGUGAAUCUUGUUACAAAUUCAGCAAGAACCUUUUUUAGUAUGGCACCAUCAAAGGUCAUUUGAAGAUCAAUCAAUGCUAAAAAUUCAAAAAGUUUAUCUCUCCAUUUUGAUGGAGGCAGAUCAUCAAAAGUAAACCAAGGUCCAGUUCCAGCUGUGGAUUUCGACCUUAGGUGUGAAGCUCCAGUAGGAACAAAAUAUGACUGUGCAUCCUCUGUGCCAUCUUCAGGCUCUACUACUUCUGGAGAGGGUUCAGUAGUAGAGGUGCUCAUGAGUAUUUCUGUUAUAUAAGCCAUUUCAAAGGUAUUUGAAGAAGAAUCAGAAUUACAAGGGCUGAUUAGAGAUUGAUCUGGCAAUUUAUUGCAUUUCAAGACUGGAGGAUGUAAAGUUUUCUUUUAUUGGGGUGUGGAGCUUUUUGGAUAGAGGUGUGAGAAAGUACCAAAAGGUGGGUAAGGAGUUUCUUCUUGCUCUGGUUGUGGAAAGAAAGGAAAUGCAGAGAAAUAUGAGGGGGCUAUUGCAGAAGAUGUAGAGGCUGCCGAUGUGAAUGAAGGGACCAUAGAAGACUGAUCUUUUCUAAGGUCAUGUUCAAUUUGAUCAAUCUGCUUUUUGAUCCUCAUAAUUUUCUUUUCCUUUUGGGUGAAGGCUGGUGUAAUUGGUUGGGGUACUCGAAGCUCUCUAUCCAAGGCUUGGUAUUUGGAGGUUAAGGAGGAAUACAAUUGGAGUACUUCUUGAGAGAAGGUGUCCAACUUCUGAUCUAACUUUUGGGAGAAAUGUAAGGCCUGGUCUAGAGCAUUAGAAGUUUGCCAGUUUAGCACUUCUUCUGCUUGAGUGAGCUUCUCGAUCUGCCCAGAAGGAGCUACUUUUGAAGGGGUGACUUGAGAUCUCAUAUUUUCUGAUUUUCCCAAAGGAGGAAAAUCAUGGUCUUGAAGCAUAAAACAACUUUGGACAGGUAGGACUGUGGACACAGGAGUUUGUAUGUUUGCACGAUAAGAUAGGGAAGAAACUUUGUAGGAAGAUGGCCUCUCCUUUUGUAAGAUCUCUAGUGCCUCUUCGUAAAUAGGUAAAGGAGUCCUUAUUUUUGAUGCAUCAUCCGGGUCCUGAACAUCGCGUCUGGGCUUCCUGUAUGAACAUGAAGAACUGUAGAAUACCUUUGGAAUCAGUCUAAGUUUUUCAAGUUCAAGUUUAUGAAAACAUGGUUCUCCUAGUUCCUCUGCACAGUUGCAUCCUCGGUCACAUUUCGAAGGAUCUAUAUCCCAAAUAAAGUGGCCAUUGAUUUUUACCGGAUAGACAUAGCGUCCGGAGGGGGAAAAGCCAUGUACCGGAAGGCCAUUUUUCAAGUUUUGGAGAUGGAACCGGUUGUAUCAUUGAUGCUUGAAAGAUGGACGGAGAGGAAGAUGAAGUUUCUUCAGUUUUUCUGAAGAUGGUUUUUACAGUACCAUCUUUUUCCUUGAUAAAAAAUGGAUCUAUAGCUUGGAUCUGCUUAUCUUGAUACUGGUAAAGUUUCUCAUUGUUUGUUGCCCAUUUAAGAGGGAUAAGCUUCUCUAGAUCUCCUUUUUUUCAGUUGUCGUGGUGCCUACACAAUUGUGGAAACUUGUCCUGCAUCAGCCAUGAUGAACAGGGCAUCAGUUGAAGAUUGAAGACCUGGUAGUUGUAGAUUUAUUGCAUGGUCCUGCAGUCGAUAAACUAACUGGUGAUAUAGUAUUGCUGCAAGAGAAUCAACCACUUGGUCAGCUCUAGUGAUCUGGAUCUGUACUUUCAAUGCCGUAGAAAGAUACGGGGCAUUGAGUGACAUAUUGAAAUUAGGGAAGAAAGUGAGUACUACACUUCUCGUAUUGAGGGUUGUGACAAUUGUUCCUAUGACAGCAUGCUCAUAUCUGAGAUAUCUGGUGUCCAAGAGUGACAUCCGGGCAGUGACAGGUAAACCCAUUCUGCCAUGCUAAGAUAACACCAAUCUGAUAGCUCCAAGGUGGAGAUGAGUAUAUUCUUGUCUCUUCCAUUGAUGGAUAAAAGACUCAGGAAUUUUCAGGGUAACAUAUUGCUCUUGAGUGGUAGCUGUUAAAAAAUAUUGGGACAAUGCAGAAGAUUUGUGUAGUAAUUGGUUAAAGGUUCUUCUCACCAAGGUUUGUUUCUUAAAAAUAUUGUACAGGUUGAUUAUAGGGACAAGAGUUUUAUCAAUUUGGAUAGUUUCAGGGAUGUGGAAAAUUUCUACAAGAUUGUCUAUUUUAUGAGAUAGAGUUUUUCUACAUGAUGGAGAGUGUUGGAGAGUAGAAGUUUGAGUAGUGAAUUCAGAACUUGUAGCCAUGUUGAUUCAAUUCUCUUUCUCUUUCACCAAAGGCUCUGAUACCAAAUGAAGCCGAGAGCUGUUCAUUCUAAUAAUUCUCAUACUGUAAACUCAAGGCAAGAUAAAUCCUCAAUCUAAGACCAAGUGAAGGCAGCUUUGCCAUGAAAGGUUUUUGUGCUCUUUUGGAUUCUUGUAGCCAAGUUAGGCCUUUUGAAUUAUAGAAGAACAGAUCGUGCAAGCUAAAAACUCAUAGCCAAAGGAUCGAGAGAAAGAGAUAAAAAAAUUUAUUAUUAUAAAAUUUUAAUAUAAAAAUAUUUGAUAAAUAUAUUUAACUAUUUUAUGAGUUUUUAUUUUUUUCUUAAAAUAGAAACUUAUAUAUUAUUAUAUAUUUUACAAACUUAUUAGAUAAUUAAAUUUCAAAUAAAUUUAUAUAAAAUUAUAAAAUAUUUUAAUUUCUCUUUGCUUUGAUUUAGUGACUCUAUCAAUAUUGAACUUUGUAUAUGUAUUUUAUCCAAUUAUAUCUAUUUUAUAUCAUAAUAAUUUAUUUUAAUAAAUAAUUAUUUGAUGUAUUUACUUAAAAUAAUUUAAGUAUAUAAUUCUAAUAAUUAUUUAAUAAGAAUAUCAAAAUAAAAUUUCCAUGAUAAUAAAGAAAGAAACAUGAAAGCAAUUUAAUAUUUUAGUUUAAUAAUUUUUUAAUUUUUACUUUUAUAAUAUAAUCCUUUUGAUAGUAAUAUUAUUAUACUUAAAUAUAAAUUUAAUUCUUGUUUUUCAAAAAAAUAGUAAAGAGAAAAAUAUAAAAAGAGAUGAAUUUUAUUAUAAAAUAUUAAAUAAUAAAUAAACAUUAAAAAUGUAAAUGAUAUUUCUUGUCUAUGUUGCUUGAUAUCACUACAAGAAAUUGGGAAUUUAGGAAUGGAAUUUCUCCUUUACACUGAAUCCAUUAUUAGAAAGAAUCAAGGACGGAUUAACGAUGAAUAUAAUUUAUUGCUAAAAAAUGACGGACUAUUUUCGUCACUAAAAGUAAUGACGAGAUAUGUCGAGCGACCAUAACUAUCAUUAGAUUUAGUGACAAACUCUGUGGCGGCGCUAAUUUAGCGACAACCACUAUCCAAACCAUUUGGACCUCUUAGAGGUUCUAACCAAGGAGCACUCCCGAAUUUGAAAUAUCUUACUUUCACGCAAUUCACUGAGGGCAAGUCAGGCAUCAUGCUUUCCCAGGGAGAUCGUUUCAAUUUACAUAAUAGUUAAGCUUCUCGCGCAUUCAUGCUUGCUGUAAAAGUGAUCUUUGUAAUCAAGACGUUCAAGUGGAAUUUGGAGCAUUCCAAAAAAUUGAAAAACAUAUUCACCGUUGAAUCUAUUGCUAAGUUGGUGAUGAUACUUUCCCUUGCUAAUCUUGCAACGAUUGAAUGGGAGUGAGCAACAAAUUAUACAUUGGUAAUCCGUCGUAAUUUUUUUUUUUAAAUUAUUUUAUAUUUUAGUUAAUAAUUUUAAAAUAUUAAUUUAUUAAUAUUAACUAAUAAAUCAGAUUUAAUUGUCAUAUAUAUAUAUAUAUAUAUAUAUAUAUAUAUAUAUAUAUAUAUAUAUAUAUAUAUAUAUAUAUAUAAGCAAUAUAUAAAAAUGUAAUAUAAUAAAAAGAUAAGUACUAUUCAUGAGUCUUCAUAUGCCUCGUGCAUUUUGCCAAUUUUCCAAUAUUUUGCAACUAAGUUUGCACUUAGAUUCCUUGAUUCAUUGAUUUAUAGGUUGAGUAUGCUAUGUAUCUGUAAGUUUUAAUGCAUUAUAUUCCCUUAUUUAGAUGACAUUCUGAUAUCCCCAAAUUAUAAGGUGACUCCAUUUUUACCGGUGCAAUGCAGAUUUUCAAUGCAAAAUCCUCAUGUGAAUUGGCCCUUAAAGAAUUGAAGCAUUGGAUGAAUCCAGAAAAGGUAACUAUACGUCAAUUCUUUUGCAAGAAUUCAGGCCACAGUUCUUGCAAUUAAUUUCAUGGUUUUGAGCUUAAUUUCUCAAUUUAUCAACAUGUUUCAGGCAAAAACCUCAGUUGCAACUUAUCCUUCUUCAGCAGAAAUUGUGCCAGAGCCCCUGGGUGUUGUGCUGGUCAUCUCAACAUGGAACUUUCCUUUCCGUACGUUAAAAUGAAAUUUAAUAGAUUAAUUGCCUUAAUAUAUUUAUUUUAUAUACAUUUGAAAUUUAACUCAAAUAAUCAGAGCAUUGACUUCUAAAAAAUUAAAAUCUUUAAUUCAAGUUCCAUUCCUAUACUUGCAUACAGUUUACUUGGACUUACCAUAAAUUUAAAAUUGAAUAUAAUUGAUUACAUAAGAUCAUCUUUUACAAUACAUAUGUAUUUGCAGUGUUGUCGGUUGAUCCAGUGAUUGGAGCUAUUGCAGCUGGGAAUGCUGUGGUCCUAAAACCAUCAGAAAUUUCUCCAGCUACAUCUUCAUUACUUUCAAAACUAUUUGAGGAAUAUCUUGACAGCUCUAUCAUAAGAGUAAUUCAGGGGGCUGUUCCUGAAACAUCUGCAUUACUGGAGCAGAGAUGGGACAAAAUACUCUACACAGGUUUAAUCUCGUAACUCUUAUUAGUUGUAGAUAAUAAUGGAUAAAGGGUCAAAUAGCCCGAAUUUGUAGCUCAACACUAAAUAAAUAAGUUUAAUUUCAAAUAUUUUAAUAAAUAGAUCUAUAACUUUAUUCAAAGUCUAAAUAAAUUUAAGUUUUGAAAAUAUUAUGAAUAAUAAAAUAAAAUUUAAAUAAAUAUUAAUUUCUAAUAUUCAAAAUAAAUUUAAAUUUAAAUUUUUUAAAUUUUAUAUAAUAAAUUUUUUAUAUUUUAUCAAAAAAAUUAAAAUUAACAAUUAUUAUCUCCAUUUCACUAUCACUUUCGAUUUUGUCAAACCAUAAUUAAUAUUGUUGCCAUUAAUUUCAUUAGUUUUAAUCAAAAUUUAAAUUUAUUUGACCUUUAAAUAAAAAUUAUGAGUCUGUUUAUUAAAAUAAUUGAAAUUAAACUUAUUUGAUCAUAAGCCAGGAGAGAGUAUUAGAUCAUUUAUCCGAUAAUAUAUGGACAUAGGGAAUGUCUGCAUUGAAACAUCAUAGCAAGCACUGAUAAAAUUUACACAUUUGUUUAUUAUAUAUAUAUGUUGAGACUUAAAUUUUUUUGACAUGUGUGCUUAAUUUUUUAUAUAUAAAUUUUUUAUUUUGACAUGUGUAUUUAUUUUUGACACAUGAGAUUUAAAUUUAUAAAUUAUUUUUAUAAAUACUAACUCUAAUCCUAAAAUUUAACAUAUUAAUUAUAUUUUAAUAUUAUAUUAACUAAUAAACAAUUUCAUAAUCAGAUAACAAUAUUAAUUCUAUCGUAAGAAAUAGCAUAUUAAUUAUAUUUUGAUAUUAUAUCAAUUAAUAAAUUAAUUUUUUAAUGAGAUAAUAAUUCUAAUUCUAAAAAAUAACAUCUUAAAUUAUAUUUUUAAUAUUAUAUUUGAAUUAUCUUCUUAAUUAUAUAAUAAAAUUUUAAUCCUAAGAAAUAGUAAUAUCAAUUAUAUUGAUAAUAUUGAUUUAUAUAACACCAAAAUCAAUUAAUGAAUAUUUUUAUAGCAUAUUUUAUAUUAUUGUACUGAUAAAAUCAUAAAAUUUUAUAAAAUUAAAAAAAUAUUUAAAAAUAAUUAGUUUGCUAUUAUUUUUUAAAAUAUUUUGAAUUAAUAUUAAAAUAUUAAAAAUCUUAUUAAAUUAUAAUUAUUUAUUUAUUUUUAUAAUCAAAAUAAUAAAUAAUAAUAAUUAUAUAAUAUAUGAAUAAUUAAAUAACUAAUUUAUCAUUUAAUAUCUGCGAUAUAAAAAAGAUUUCCAUUAAAAUACCAUGGACUUGGGAAAUUCACAUGUUCAAACUAAUACGGGCUGUGAAUAUAUGACAUGCAUGAUUUUUGCUAUAACCCUCUCAACAUAGAGAAUUUAAUUGGACAAAUUCAAACCAUCAGUCGUUGUUAUCCAUUUAUUUGAACUCCCGGGUAUUUAUGUGUUAGGUAGUUCAAGAGUAGGACGGAUAGUGAUGACUGCAGCAGCAAAGCAUCUUACACCUGUCGUACUAGAGCUUGGAGGAAAGUGUCCAGCUAUUGUUGAUUCAGAUGUCAAUUUACAAGUAAGUACACCAGCCCUAAUAAAAGCAAUGGCAAAAUAUAUUUAGCCUAAAGAUAUAUAGUUUAAUAAAUUUAUUGAUCAUCAUUUGUUAACAUCAAGGUUGCUAUGAGGAGAAUUAUAGCUGGAAAAUGGCAAUGCAACAAUGGGCAAGCUUGCAUCGGUGUUGAUUAUGUUAUAACUACUAAAGAUUUUGCUCCAAAGUUGGUAAGUGCUUUAUAUACUCUAAUUACAUAUUAAGUUCUAAAUUUUAUAUUUUUUUAAUAAUCUUAUUUAAUUAUUUCUAAAUUUUAUAUUUUUUAAUAAUUUAUUCAAUUAUUUCUAAAUUUUAAAAUAAAUAUUCAUUUUUUUAAUUUUUUUUAAAAAAUAUUUUCAGGUAAUAAUUUAUGAAAUUUCAAAAUAAAAAGAAUAAUAUAGAAAGUUAAUUAUACUUGUUAAAAAGAAUAAUUACGAAUAAGAAAAAAUAAUUUAUCCUACACUUAAUAAUAUGAACAUUAAAAAUCUCAUAUAUGCGUAAUUUUUUAACAUAUUUUAUAUUUAAAUAUAACAUAUUUUUUAUUAACUUACUAAUUUUUAUAUUAGUAAAUAGAAUUAACUUGUAAUAUCAUUCUUUUUAUUGUAAACUUAUAAAAAUUAUUAUUAAAGGAUAUUUUUAAAAAUAUAUUUAUUUAUUUUAAAGUUUUAAAAUAAUUAAAUAAUAUUGUUAACAAAUAUAGUUUAAAAUUUAAUUAGUAAUUAGACACUCUUUAUAUAGCCAACAGACAUAACAAGGGGGUUUUACUUGUGGGGGUAAUUACUAUUUAUUCAACAUUUUGGUCAAAUGCAUGAAUUGUCUCUUUGAUUAUAUUAAAAAAGAAUUGUGUCCUUAUAAAACUAAUUGUUAGUUCAUUUGAUCCAAAAUCAAUUCAGUUAAAAAGUUGAAUAUAUUAAAAGUUUGAUUUAAUUCUUAAAUUUUAUAUUAAAUAUCAAAUUUGCCUAAAAUGAAUUAUUUUUAUCAAAUUAGAAUAAAAUGACUGAGUUUAGUGAGGAUUGUAAUUAAUUUUACGUCAAAUGAUUUAUGAUGUAUAACAAAAAUAAUUAAUUGAUAUUUUUUUACUUGCUCUAAUUUUUAUUAUAAUUUAUUCUAAAGAUUUAAAUAUUUUUAUAAAAAGUUAUAAAUUUAGUGUCUAACUUUUUCUGUUUUGGUAUUUAAACUAUUUUUUUAUUUAAAUGUUUGGACCUAUUAAAGAUGAUCAAUAUAAUGUUUUUAGUCAAUUUUACAGGUUAAAAUGCUUAAGUGAUUUAUUUUUAACAAUAAAUUAACCUAAAUAUUAUUUUUAAAAUAAAUUAACUUAAACGCCCUCAUUUAGAAUAAAUAUAAUUUUUCUUUUUUUUAAAAAUCAAUUUCAACCCUAUUUUCUUUUCUAAAUUUUGUUAGUUUCAAAAAAAAGUUAAAGAAAGAAAUAGUGAAACUCUUCUCUUUUCUUAAUCAUUCAAACAAAAAAUUAGAAAAAAAUUAAAUAUUAUUUUCUUAUUUUUUCAUUUUCUUAUAUUCAUCUCAAAAAUAAAAAUAAAAUAUAUUUUUCAUCUCAAAAUAAUAAGAGAAAAGAGAGAAAGGUAUUAAGGUUGUGUUUGGAAUUACAGUUUGGAGUUUAAAAAGCAGGUUUAAGUUUUUUUGAUUUAAUGUAUUAAUUUUUUUAAAAUUUUUUAUAAACUUCUUUUCUCAAAUGUACUUUUUGAACAAGCAUCAAUUCAUCCAUUUCUUGCAAAAAUAAUUUUCAAAUAAUAUAAAAUAAAAGUGCAAGUUGGAAAAGUACUUUUACAACCUCAAUGCUAAAUGAAAAUAAAGGUUCUUUAAAAAAAUAAUUCUUAAAAAAAAAAGAAGUAAAUUUCUCUUAAAGAAUAAAUAAUUUUUUUUAAAAUAAUUAAUAUAGAAUCUUUGAUUUCUUUUAGUGUUAAUAAAAGAUUUAAUAUAAAAUAGAAAAUGAAAAAAAAAAUAGAGAAAGUUAUAAGUAUUGAUGAUUAAGGAUAUUUAGAUAAUUUUAUAUGUAAAAUGAGUUAAAUUAUUACUUUAACUUAUAAAAUCUAUAAAAAAAUACCAUACUACAUAAAAUAGCAUGUUUAGACACUUGAUUAAACAGAAAAAUAAUUCAAAUAAUGAAAUAGAAAAAUUAAAAAAUUAAUUAUUUACUUUAAUAAUAUAAAAAGAUAAUUUUAAAUUUUACAGAUUAAAAUAAUAAUUUAACUCAUUUUACACGUGAACUAACUUAAAACAUCNNNNNNNNNNNNNNNNNNNNNNNNNNNNNNNNNNNNNNNNNNNNNNNNNNNNNNNNNNNNNNNNNNNNNNNNNNNNNNNNNNNNNNNNNNNNNNNNNNNNNNNNNNNNNNNNNNNNNNNNNNNNNNNNNNNNNNNNNNNNNNNNNNNNNNNNNNNNNNNNNNNNNNNNNNNNNNNNNNNNNNNNNNNNNNNNNNNNNNNNNNNNNNNNNNNNNNNNNNNNNNNNNNNNNNNNNNNNNNNNNNNNNNNNNNNNNNNNNNNNNNNNNNNNNNNNNNNNNNNNNNNNNNNNNNNNNNNNNNNNNNNNNNNNNNNNNNNNNNNNNNNNNNNNNNNNNNNNNNNNNNNNNNNNNNNNNNNNNNNNNNNNNNNNNNNNNNNNNNNNNNNNNNNNNNNNNNNNNNNNNNNUUUAUUAUUAUUAUUUAUUAAUUUAUUUAAAAAAAUUACUCAUAUUUCUAGUUUUAAAAAUUAUUUUUAAAAAAACACUUAACAUAAAUUCUCUUUCUCUUUUCAAAAAUAGAAAUUAGUUUCAAAAAUUAUUAUUAUUAUUAUUAUUAUUAUUAUUAUUAUUAUUAUUAUUAUUAUUAUUAUUACUUUUUUAUUUUAAAAAAUACUUUCUCUUUCUCUUUUUAUUGUUUUAAGAUGAAAAUAUAUUUAUUUUUUUUAAAAAAAUAAAAAAAAUAAAAAAUAACAUUUAAUUUUUUUUAUUUUAUAUUUAAAUAAAUAAAAAAAUCUCGCUAUUUUUAUUUAACUUUUUAAAAAACUAAUAAAAUUUAAAAAAUACUGAAAAUGAAUAAAAAAUAUUAUUUUAAAUGAGUGCAUUUAUGUUAAUUAUUGUCAUAAGCAUUCUGUAAAAUCAGCUAUACAAUUAUAUGGACCACUUUUAACAGAUUCAAAUAUUAAAUGUUUAAUAUCUAUUUUCAUAUAAAUUUAAAAGAUUGUUUUAUUAAUUUGUGCACGUGUGCUUAGUAGAUAAAUGCUCUGAGUAAAGAGAUCGAGGAUUGCUUUGGGAAGAAUCCAAUGGAAUCGAGAGAUAUAUCUCGUAUUGUGAGCUUGAAUCAUUUCACUCGUCUGGUAAAGUUAUUGGAAGAGGAGAAUGUCUCAAACAAAAUAGUCCACGGAGGCCAAAGGGAUCAGACCAAAUUGUAUUUAUCUUUUUCCAUUUACCAUUUUUGUUUUUUCAAUUAUCACUUUUACAUAUUAGUAAAAGUCAUGCUCAUUAAUUAAUACUAUACGAUGCCUUCUGUCUAUUGAAGAAUGAUAGCACCAACCCUACUAUUGGACGUUCCUGAAGACUCUCAGAUAAUGCAGGAAGAGAUCUUUGGGCCAUUGCUUCCUAUUAUCACUGUAAGUAUAAUGAUAAGGUUUAACAUAUUGACCUUAAUUCAGUAUCUUAAAUUACAUGCAGUAUUUAUAUAUAUUUUGAGAUUGCUUUUUAUUUCAGUCUAUUGCACUGACAAGCAUAUAAUAAUUAUAAAAUGUAAAAUAUAUAUUAUAUGUAUAAAUAUGAAACAUUAUUCAAUUGCUGAUUAUAAAACACUCAGUUAGUCAGACAUUUUUUUAAAUUUUAAUAGUUGGGGAACAAAAUAUAUAAUACUUUAAGUACAAUUAGUACAAGUUUUGCCUAUUCCAAGAAUGUAUCCCUUUCUAACACUAAAGGUGGUAGAUGACUGGUUCCAAGUUAAUGAUUCAAUAUCAAUAGAGUCUAAAACAGUGUAGCUACUCAAUUUGAAUAAGGUUUCAAUUUUGAACUUUAUUUUCAUCGACUUGUGUAGAAAUAAACAAACAAAAAAUAUAAUACUCAUAUUAUAUUACUAUUGAUGUAUUUACUUAUAGCAGGCAAAAAUCAUAUACAAAGAUCUUUCAUUGUUGAAACAAAAAAAGUUUAUAUGUAUGUUUUAAAAAUUAAAAAUUAAAAAUUCUUAGUUCCUUCCAUUUCUCUUUAUUUUGAGAAAAAUAUAAGCUAAAUUCUAUUAAUUCCCUUUCUUUUCUGUUUCUUAUUUAAACAUCCAAACCAAAGAAAAAAAAAAGAAAUUUAUAAAUUUACGUUCUUUUCCCUGCUUUGAUAUAUACUUGUGCAAUGUGACAGGUUGACAAUUUGAAAGACAGUUUUGAGGUGAUAAAAUCAAAACCCAAACCUCUUGCGGCAUAUCUCUUCACUAAUGAUGAGAGCUUAUGAAACACUUUGUGCGAGNNNNNNNNNNNNNNNNNNNNNNNNNNNNNNNNNNNNNNNNNNNNNNNNNNNNNNNNNNNNNNNNNNNNNNNNNNNNNNNNNNNNNNNNNNNNNNNNNNNNNNNNNNNNNNNNNNNNNNNNNNNNNNNNNNNNNNNNNNNNNNNNNNNNNNNNNNNNNNNNNNNNNNNNNNNNNNNNNNNNNNNNNNNNNNNNNNNNNNNNNNNNNNNNNNNNNNNNNNNNNNNNNNNNNNNNNNNNNNNNNNNNNNNNNNNNNNNNNNNNNNNNNUUUUGCAGGUUACAGUAGAUAGUUUACCCUUUGGAGGAGUUGGUGAGAGUGGAAUGGGAUCGUACCAUGGGAAAUUUUCUUUUGAUGCUUUUAGCCACAAGAAGGCGGUUCUUUAUAGGAGUUUCAGCGGAGAUGCAUCCAUAAGGUACCCACCAUACACGCCACAAAAACAAAAAUUAAUGAAGGCUCUGAUGAAAGAUGGCAUAUUCGGGAUGAUUCUUGCUUGGUUAGGAUGGAAUAAAGAUUGAGGGACCUUUAGGAAAAGUAGACCCAAUAAAAUAUAACUUAGACUAAGUUGCCAACUACAUUUAGUUAUGUAUUUAAAGUUGUUAUUCUUCUAACUUCUCUAUUGGAUAAUAUUUAAAAACGGAAUGCAUCACACACUUAACUUGAUCCAUUUUAGAAAAAACUUAUGAUAUUGAUAACUAGUUAAUAAAAUACUACUAACUGAGAUAUUUUUUGUUGAUCCGAGUUUUGAAAUAUUUGUAAGAGAGGUUAGAAGGGUACUAGAUGGGGUUAUCUAAUCACUAACUUCAAUAGCUAAGUUAGCAAAGAGAUCAUAAAUAUAGAUCGUAUCUAGUUGUAUACGAUAUUACGUACCUAAUAUAUUGCAUCCUAAUCUUUUAUAUAGAACCUUGAGUUCUUCUUGUCCUCCUAGGAGUAGACCAGAUAAUAUGAAGAACUCCUAAUCCUAUCAAGAUUGGUGUUUUUUUAGUUCCAUAUGAAUAUAUUUAUUCAGGUCGGAUUGCUUAAGUAUAGUCUGACCAUGAUUGGUCUUCCUUGGUCUUGAAAUCCUAUUUGGACUUAGUCAAUCCCGCAUUUCUCAACUAUUCUUACUUGGUUUCUUUGAUGCAUAUUAUCUGAGAGUAUUUAUGCUCAGUCCAUUUUUCUUGUUAGAGCUCGGCUAUUUCUUCCUAUGGCGAGUUUGAUGUAUGCAUCAAAGAAACCACUACGUCCAAGGACUGAUACAUUAUAAAGGAAUUAAUAGGUGAAACAAUUCACCUAGCCUUUGACGUUUCAAUCAUUGUGUCUAUCAUGAUGGGUACAAUCUCGCAUAAAACUUUAGAAUAAGAAAAAUAUCCUUACAUUCUAGAGUUUUCUUAUUUGGUUCUAGGACCCUAAGCUCACGCGAGGUUACCCUCUGCUUGCAUGGGUUCAGGCGCCACAUGGACCUAAAUGAUAGCUUUUUGAGUGAAACAACAUUGUGCUUCUUGUUGCUUAGGUUUUGGAGUUGACCUCAAGCGAGGUGGGUCUGUGCUCGCGCGAGCUCAGUCUCUCUCUUCUAAAAGCUAAAGGCUAGUGUCUCAAACCAUACCGUGAGCCUCCUAUGUCCUAAGAGGGCUAACCUCCACCCUCUACACGUGUUAGGUUAAUUUUUAUGAUGAACAAAACAAAAAGUAUUUUAUGUGUUUUCAAUUUUAUUUGAUUUCUUGCCUUAUUUCAAUUAUGCCUCAUUUCAAUCUUGCUAGUUUUACUUCUUGCUGUGCAUAAUUAAUUCAUCACAUUGUUUAUUAUUUAGUCAAUAACCUUAGUGCAGACUAGAUGGUUUUUGAAGAUCCGCCCCUCGAGGAGGAUUAAUUAUUAUUACCUGUUAAUUCUUGUUAUUUGUUGAUUUGUAAUUAAGCCACUAAGACUAUUUGCUUGCAUAGGUCCCUUGGUUAAUCCUCAAUUUUCUUAAUCCCCUUAUGGUUCUAUUCUCCUUUCGUUUCUAUGUAUGUUUAAUUACUGAUUACGACACCAUCUCAUAUGUAAAUAAAUGGAGAAAAUUGGACUUAGCAAUUUUUAUGAUCAUCCUACAUGUAAAGAUAAUAAAAUUGAAGCUUACCAAAGUAAGCUCCCGCGCAUCACAUGUAUUUAUCUCAAAUACUAAGGUUAAAAUAAAUCCAAUAUCUAGAUUAGGAUUAAUCAAAAUCGCAAAUGAUGUGAGCACUUUGGCAUGUCAAGAUAAAAUCUAAGGCACCAAAAUGCCUCCUGAUUAGGACUAGGAAAGGUACCAAUGUACACCUGCCUAGGUUAGUCUUUCGAUUUCUCACCCUACAUGCUAAAAGAGAUAAAACAGGGUUGAUGUUCAAAAUGAAUAUAAAGUAAAACUAGGCUAAGACAAUGUUAUUAGGAUAGGCAUAUGCUCCAGUGGAGGCUAGACGUCACCGCUGAGGCAGAUAGGGGUACUUUCAUAAACCUUCCAUAUUUGUACAUAACUUUCUAAACCUAGAAUCUCUGAUUUUAGGAAGGGGAAAACUUGGGCUCUUAGUGAGGGCUACAAAGUCAUUAUCCUCACUCCUAAACUUGUCCUAAUCUCAUCAAGUGGCGACUCUUUCUUUGAUUUGUCUUAAGGCCACUUAUAAUCCUUUAAGGCCCUUAGUUGAAUAUUCAUUUUGAAACAGGCCUAAUACGAAGAGUGAUACCCAGACGCAAGCGAUCACAGUUGCUCAUAAUAGUACAUUAAACAUGCUGUCAGAGUGCAAAUCAUGGACACGCUUCUUCCAUCACAAUCGCGAAACUUGAAAAGCCUCCAAUGACUAUUUGAUGUGGCAUUGAGAUAUUGGUUGCUUCGAAAGAAACUAUUCACCAUUUUUAAUAGUCACAACAUUGCACAAAAUUCCCGGUCGUCCCUUUUUUAGGAGAGGUCGCGAUUCUUGACCUUUGUAAGCUUUUUAUCUCUACCUUGAAACUCUUCAUUUUUAUAGUCGUGCCUUUCAUGGUGCGGUCGCAAUUCUCAGCCUUAAGUCUCUAAGUCCUUUGGUCCACAAACUUGUUAUUUUUUCAAUUCCGCUAUAGGGUGCGAUUGCGAUUUUGAAGCAAACUAGGAUUCUUGAUUUUGAUCAAAGCUAUAAUAUUAACGCUUAAAGAAGCAUUAGAUCAAGACCUCAAUUUAUAUGUCAAGAUCAAAAUUAGAGACUUCAGCCUUGUUGACAAAGCAUCUAGGCUAACAAUCUAUUAAAGAAACAGACGAAGUCCCUAAGUCAAGUCAAACUAAAAAAGAACGUUUUAGAGAAACCAUAAAGCCAGAGUAAUUAUCCGCAUGCAGUAUAUUUGAAGGGAGGUCUUCGAGAUGUCAUAGGCUUACGACACGAAACUUCUAUAGCUCCAUAUCCUUUAUCAUAUUCUUGAUAUUUAUGCUUUUUCUCGAUUUAUUUAACCAUGAAUAUGUUUAUAAAUCUCGACAAAUCGGAGACAAACUGUAAGUACCAAAUUUUUGAAUCUAGAUAUUGAGAAAAUUAUAGAAAAUCCAAUGAUGAAAUGAUUAUUCUUCUCGAGUCUCACGGAGCUAGGAAAAAUCAAGCUCGAUUAGGGUUAUGAGCAAUUGAGCCAAAAUCUUAUUUUUAAAAAAAAAAAUUAGAACGAUCAAAAUUAGACCAAAUUGAUUAAGAUAGUCAGAAUUAGUUAAAUGGUUAAGUUUAAGGGCAAAAAAAAGUUUUUUAAGUUUGCCAACCUCUAAAGCCAAUUGGCGCUGCAUAGUGCUGGUUGGCUCAAAGUUCAAUUUUUAUGGUCAUUUUCAAUAUUUUUUGAAUUUUAAACACCCAUAAUAGUCGAAAUUGAUUUUCUAAAGAGAUUUUACCAAUAAUUAUCUAAGUUUUUUAUUAUUAUAUAAUUAAAUGAAUUUUUAUCAGCAUUAUCUCAAGUUCUUAGAAAAUGAUUGUAUUUAUCGAUAGAAAAUGGUUUUAUAAAGCCAUUUAACUAUCUUUAAUUCUUGGAAUUAUCAUAAUUAAAUGGAGUGUUUUAUCCUGGCCUCUAGGGUUACCCACCUCUUCUAUAAAUAGAAAAAAAAACCCUAGGCCAAGGGGUUGGUAAAUAUUGGUAGUAGGCGACAGUAAGUUCUUGGCAAGAUAAAAAGAUUUUUAAAAUAAACACCAACCACCCUAAACAUUUUGGAUCCCUACCCAAUUUUUGGAUUGACUUCUUCCUUUGCUCUUGAGACUUAUGGAUCUAUAUAAUAUGGUGAUAACCUAAGGAUUUCUUAAACUUAAUCAUCUCAUCAUAUCUCUUUUUCUUGAUCUCUGUUCUUAAUCUUUAUAAGCAUGAUUAUGAUUUUUUUAAACUUUGAUACGAUUAGGGUUUAGAUAUAAUAAUUCUUGUGUUAAUUAAUAGACUUGCAUGAUUAGGUCUUUCAAUUAGCCUUUGCCAUGAUUACAUCUGUACGUUCUAGGUUAAUGGCAACUAGUUAAGAAUAAUUAUGUUACAUCUAGGUUUCCUAUAUGUUAUUCGAAACUAGUUUCUUUCUUAGUCUAUCUAUUUGUUUUUAAUAUAAAUAUCGUUCUCAUAUGCCUUAGAUAAAGUUUCCAAUUUUAGAUCAUCUGAUCUAGAAAUUUGACAUGCAUAGAAUUUCACUUGCUUUAACACUAUCUGAUCUCACAUGCUAGGGUUUGAAUCUUCAAUUCCAAUUAUUUCUUACUUUAUUUGAUCAAUUUUCAUGUCCUAAAAAUUAAAAUUUGAUUUUUUAUGCAUGCACUUGACUCUUGGGGUAUCUAGAGCCUCUAGUUGCUUGAAGCUAGGAAAAAUACAUUGCAACAAUCAAUUUUUUUGCCUAAAGAGCCAUAGAGCCAAUUGGCUGUGCCUAAAGCUGAUCCACUCUACCCUAUAGCCGAUCCGCUGUUCAUUCCCCAGUUUGCCCAUUUUUUCAGUCUUCGCCUACGUUCACCCUGGUUCACUUGUUUUUGCUAAUUUCUAUUUAUUUUAAGCCAAAUAGUUGUACAAAGGAUGUAAUUUAUUAUUUUCCUGCUUUUACUUUUGCUUCUACUUCUGUAUUUAUGUACUUUGUAAAAUAGUAGAUAUAUCUAGUUAAUGGGUGAUUGCCAACUAAAAACGAACUCCCAUAGACAUAAGACUAAAAUUAGACCUUUGUAUGUAAUCAAUAGUCCAUUAGGCUGAAUAGAUGGUAAUUUUGGCCCAAUUCAUAAAACUGAACUAGACUUAUGUGGGCUUUGUCAUGCUUAAUUAACAACUUGACCUAUUCAGACUCAGAAUUAAAACAAGCCUUUGUAUGCAAAGAGUAGCCCGAUUAGAUGAAAAGUUAGUAAGUUUAGACUUGACCAAAAUAGGAUAGAACUAGGUGGACCUAUAUCAUAUUUUAUUGCUUAUGAUCAGACUCGAUAUCAUCGAGAUGGAAUUCAUCCCAGCGGUUCGAGUUCGCUUAUCUCCAAAUACAUGUCUUAUUCUUUUCAAUAAUCCAUAUUUGUAGCAAUGAAAUACUAUUCUUCCUCCCCAAAGCGAUCAAUGGUUGAUUACAAAAUUUGAUCAAUUCUUUUUUGUGCAUAAUUUAUUUGUUGCAGUUAUAAGGAAUAAGCUAUUAACUAAUAAACUUAAAGUUAAAGAAAUAAAAUUAAGGAAGUUGGUUUCUGAAUUUAUCUUUGAGUGUGAUGAUACUUCCUUAAAGAAUAUAGUUAUUACCAUAAAUUUUAAAAAAGUGACCUGUUGAUUACCCAAGUGGCAAUUUCCUUUUUCAUACUAGUCCUUGUGACUAGUUAGUAUAUUCCAUAUAAAUUAAAAAGUCUUGCAGUACCGUAGUCGCUAAAGAUAUUUAGUUUCGUGCUUGAAACCGCCCCCUACAGCAACAAAAUUAAAUUUAAAAUCAAAACUAGUUUAAAGCUCAAAACCUCAAACUCAGAGUAUUACAAUACUUGUAAAUACUAUAUCAUACUAUAUUUAAGUAAUAUUGAUACUUUAACUUUCUAGCUCUAAAACUAUCAAGUCUCUAGUCUGUCCACAUAAAGAAACAAAAGCAACAAUAGUAGAAAAAGCCUGGUUUUUUCUUGUCCCCUUUGGCAAGAUGAGCUAGAAAAACUCCUAAAUUUUUGUUAUUUCUUACACAACGAUCAAUAUCUCUCUCAAGUAGGGGUAUUAAAACGUGUUCGUGACUCGUGUUUGUAUCGGGUUGACCUAUUCAGGUGACACAAUUAAGGUCAACAUGAAUACGACCUAUUUAGUAAUCGUGUCAAUUUAUCUCAACUGUAACACAACAAGAAUUUUUAAAGGAUGACAUGAACACGACAUGCAUAUCACGUUUAUUUAAAUGAAUCGUGUAUGGUCAUAAACCUGAUACGAUCUGCUUAACCUGUUAUACGAAUAGCAUAAGAUUUAAUGUAUUUAACAUGCAAAAUGAUUAUAUUUUUUCAAAUCAAUAGAGACAGUAUCAAAUUAUAAAUAAAAAUUUAGCUAUUACAAGAAGCAUCUUUAAAAUUCAUAUAAAUAGUACCAAAUUAUUUUGUUGCGAUUUUAUUUUCUUUUGUGAGAGAGGUGACACAAAAAUAAAGAAGUAGAAAACUCUGUUAGGAUCGUCAUAUUAAUUAGACCUUAUUGGUUAUAUUUUACUUUUUAGCCAUUUUAUUUUUAUUUGCUUUCACUUUUAUAUGGUUAUUUUAUCUUUUAUCUUUUAAAAUUUACGGAUUGUAAAUGGGUUAACACGAGCUAACAUGACACGAAAAAUUAAACAUGUUACAACGGAUUCGUGAGUCAACCCGUUACACGACUCGUUUCAAGCCGUGUCAUAAACAGAUCAAUUCAUUUAUUGACCUAUACCUGCUAAGACUCAAGCCUAACCUGUAUCUUUUUCGUGUUUGACGAAUCGGGUUUACUUGUCAUAUGAUCCAUUUUGACACUCCUACUCUCAAGUUUCUUAUAUAUAACUAAUCGAUAAAUAAUUUUAAAACAUAGUUGCGAACAACAGCAUAGUUAGAGACAUCACUGAGAUGUUGUAUAAGGAGUGGCAAGUGAAGCUCAAGCAUAUCUUCACGGAGGGCAACAGGAGUGUGAAUGCUCUAGCUAAAAUUGGUAUUUUAUUCCUAUCGGUUUGCGUGUUUUCAGAAAUUCACCCUCAAGUCCAUCACAGAGGAGGAUACGAGCCUACGGUGUGGUGCUUGCGAUCUUUGGGCUUUGAGUGUCGUCUUCCAUUUGAAAAAUAAAAAAGGCCGAACAAACAAACAAAUGCUUUUCCCUUUGUUUCUUUUCGCGUGGCUGCCUGGAAAGCGCCACGAUUUGACUAAUACAUUGCCAGUUAUGAUUGUUAUUUUCUUAUAAGCACUUACAAUAAUAAUACAAAUUUCUUAAAAUGUUUUGUUAUGAAACUACAUAUACAAGCAAUUAGAUUAUAAAUAAUUACGUAAUAUUAUUUUAGUUAAUUUAUUAGUUUUAUAGGAUUUUUAUUAAUUCAAAUUAUUAAUAUAAGUUUAAUUAUUUAUGUAAGACAAUAUUAUAUAAGUAAAUCUCAUCAUUUCAUUAAUUAAAUCAUAUAAAAAUAAAAAUUAAGUAUUUUAUUAACUACUAACAAAUAUUAUAUAUUAUUAAUUUUUAGAAAUAAAAUAUUAUAUAUUAUUGGUAGUUAGUAUUUAAUUUUGAUAUAUUAAAAAAUUAUUUAAAUUAAAAUAAUAUUUAAUUUUUUAUAAAUUUAUAGAAUAUCAUAUAACCAUAGCAUAUUAAAAUGUGUCUUAAUUUUAAUAAUUUAAUUUAAAAUCCAGCGCCAAGAGCAACAGUUGUCCAUGUACCGCAAACGAGGAAAGGAAUAAAUAGCGCCUCACAAAACAGACACCAAAAGAUAUCUCAAAUCUGAAGGUGGAAGUUAAAAUGGUUCUUCAACAUUCCCAUGCCAAAGAAAAGGUAAAACUAAUUAAUGGAAAUUUAACAGACCAAGCAAUGCCAAUCCCAAAAUGCCUCCAUGAUCGAAUGCUUAAUUGACAAGCGAAAGUCACCUGCAAUACCGCAUAAAAAACCAAUUUCGGACUGACCUAAGCCAAGACACAAGACGCCAAAAACAAAUUGGCCAAGUCCUUCCUUAUUCACUCAGUACUUUUAACAAACACAUCACAAGCAUAACAAAGUACACUUUUUGCUGUAAAGUAAACAUUCUUCUUUGAUUCAUUUUAUUUUAGAAACAGAGGAAAAUGGGAAAAGGGGAUGUGGGUUUUUGGGUGGUGACGAUGUUGGUGCUGAUAGGUCUGAUUUCGGGGUCGUCAGCUGCCUCUAGUGAUGAUAGGCAACAAAGAUGGAGAAAGGCAGUGUUAUCGGGAGAAAUAACUUCUUCAAUGAUGAUUAAUAGAGCUGGGUCAUCCCUUGUUUUUCCUCUUCAUGGAAAUGUUUAUCCUGCUGGGUAUAUAUCCUUUCUUAUCUCUCUUACAGGUUUCACAUAUCUUUAUAUUCCUCAACUUGCUGCUAAUCAUGCAAAAGAUCAUCGAAUUGCAUUUUUCAGGUAUUAUAAUGUUACUCUCAGUAUAGGGCAACCAGCAAAACCUUACUUUCUUGAUGUGGACACUGGAAGUGAUCUCACGUGGCUCCAAUGCGAUGCCCCAUGUCGCCAAUGUAUUGAGGUAAUUGAGCACGAUGGCCUUGAUUGGAAUAAAUCCUUUGUAAAAAUUUUAUAGAAUUGAAUUCUUGCAAAAUCAUGUCACUUCGCAUGAUUUUGUUCUUUGAAAAUCCUAUCGUUUUCCUUUUGAUUCUUUUUUGUUUAAAGGUUCAAAUAAACGAAUUGUGAAAAUGACGACCUUUCCAAAUAUGAGAAUUGACUAAACAGAAUCCAGUUGAUUGAAUUCUUGCAUCUUUUGUCUUUCCAUACACUAUGAAUUGGUUUUCUGCAAUGCAGCUUUCUUUAUUUUUAGCAUUCAUGUCAUAUGAUUAAACUGUCAAAUGCUGCAUCUUUAAGUCAUCUUGGAAAUGGUCUACUGGCACCACAACAGAAAAAAGAACACCGCCAGAUAUAAUGGUCUAUUGUAAUGCUUUAANNNUUAACAUGAAAGAUACUUUUGAAUGCUUUAACUCAGAUAAUACUUCCUAACUCUUCUUUUCAUUUCGGUUCAUUUGUUAGCAUUUUCAGUAUGAUGUCAUACCCAAUCAAUUAAUCUGAGGUGUUAUGAGUAAUUAUAGCAAUAUUUUCCAUUGAUAUUCAAUUAGGACUUUGCAGGCACCUCAUCCUCUUUACCGACCCAGCAACAACCUUGUGAUUUGCGAGGAUCCCCUCUGUGCAUCCUUGCAACCACCUGGCGUCCACAAUUGUCAAGACCCAGAUCAGUGUGAUUAUGAGGUUGAGUAUGCGGAUGGUGGCUCAUCCCUUGGUGUUCUUGUCAAGGAUGUAUUUGUUCUCAACUUUACCAAUGGAAAACGGCUUAAUCCUCUUCUGGCCCUCGGGUUAUCUUCUUUGAUCUCUUACUUAGAAAUUUAUCGGACUUGCACAUAUAUUUUCUUUUGAAAAAACUUCAAUAAAUUACUAUGUGGGUUAAUGUAUUUUUAUUUUAGGAUUUAUGGUUUGCUUUUUGUCACUUUAAUACUCUGUCAAUAUGACAAUUAACAAAUAACAACUAAAUUGCAUAAUAUGUUAGCAAGUGUUGACGUGGCAGUUGAAAGAUCAGUGGCUCUCAGCCAUCUCUCCAAGUUCUUGAUUUAUGUGCAACUUGCCCGAAUGGCUAUCUGAUCCAAUCAACUGCCUAAGCCGUAGCGCGCGUACUCUUCUUCUAUCUGUGAGCAAGACUCUAUCCAGAUCUCCCCAGCAUCCAAAUCAUCAAAAUUUGUCACUUCAGAAUCUCUUAACGGUAUUGUGCAAUAUGACUGUCAUUUUCUAACAGCUAUAUUCACAAGGUACUAAAGUGAAAAAAAGAAGAAGCAAACCACAUAUCCUAAAAUGAAAAUACAUUAAACCAUAAAGUAGUUAUUGUCUAUAUAUAUAUAUAUAUACACUCAGAAAUUUAGAUAGUAUUUCAUGGAAGCUCUUGGAGGAAUUGAUUUUUGAACUCCAAAGGAAAUUUAGAGAUAAGGCUGCUAUUCAGAUGUAAAAUAAGAUUUUAUGAUGGAUGAGUUCCAAUAACAAUUUGGAGUUGAUUGUUAUAGCAAUCUUUAUUUGUUGGUUGUUUGCUGGUUCGUGGGAGGGAUCGCACAUCAAGAUGCCUAAAGCUCGUGGCUAAAUAUGAUGGCCAAACUCCAUGUGGUGAUGGAGUGAGGAAACAGGAAUAUAACUCCAGAAUACCAAUCAUACUGGGGGUGAUUAAAAUAUUUGGAUUUUUGUCUUUUUCCUUGAAAUUUCCCCUCAUCAAAUUUUAUGUAGUUUAAUGUUCUAAAAGAAUUGGAUCUGUCUUUUUCCCCAUCACAAACAACGCUUUAAAUUAGCAUAUAGAAAUAGUUCUUAAUGUCACCUUGCUAUUCAUUUCAAUCUAAACGACUUGUCUAUGUAAUUUCUUUUUCUUUUACAGAUGUGGAUAUGAUCAACUACCGGGUAGAUCUAAUCAUCCUUUAGAUGGAAUACUUGGCCUUGGCAGGGGAAUAUCUAGCAUCCCAUCACAGCUUAGUAGUCAGGGUUUAGUGUCAAAUGUAAUUGGGCACUGUCUAAGCGGGCGUGGUGGAGGAUUUCUCUUCUUUGGAGAGGACAUUUAUGAUUCUUCUGGUGUCACUUGGACCCCAAUGUCACGCGAUCAUUUGUAAUCAGACCACAUAAAUUCCUUUCAGUUUUGAAAAUCUAGCUGUAUUUCGUGUUUAUACACUUACAUUAACUCAUCUUUUAUGCCAGAAAACACUACUCACCUGGGUUCGCGGAAUUAAUUUUUGACGGGAAGUCCACAGGAAUCAGAAAUCUACUUGUAGUUUUUGACAGUGGGAGCUCCUAUACUUACCUCAAUGCGCAGGCAUAUCAACAUCUAGUAUUUUCGGUGAGUAAGAACCAAUGUCCUCAUGCAUGAUUACAUGCCAAAAGUAGCACUUAGCACAGGCAUUUGAAAUAUUUAGGCAACCUAUACUUUACAUGCUUAAGUAGUGCCGAAGUCCUUGCCCACAACUAUGACUAGUGCAAAAUAAGCAACACAAAUCGUUUACAUACUGAACACAAAUGUUUUUUUCCUUAUAUAAGCAACUCUCUCUCAGGCGCAUACAGAGAGACAGACGCACAAAAAUGAUUUUCAUUGUUUCUCAUUUGAUGCUUAAACAAAUCUCAUCAUAAGAUCAGCUUCAAGCAUUGCCUAUCUCUAAUAAUACGCAUGGCAAAUUUGUUCAUAGUUGAAGAGAGAAUUGUCACGAAAGCCCAUUAGCGAAGCAUUGGAUGACCAAACACUGCCACUCUGUUGGAAAGGGAAGAGACCUUUUAAAAGCAUACGCGACGUGAAGAAAUAUUUCAAGCCUUUCGCAUUGGUAUUCAAAACAAGCAGUGGGAGAAGUAGUAAAACUCAGUUUGAAUUUUCCCCAGAAGCGUAUCUUAUAAUAUCAGUAAGUUUAUCCAUCCCACUAACGAGAGUAAGUAGAAGCAUAACUUGCUCUAUUGAUUACUAACAGUGCUGCUUUCUUUUAGUCCAAAGGAAAUGCUUGCUUGGGAAUUCUAAAUGGUACAGAAGUAGGACUGCGUGAUCUAAAUGUCAUCGGAGGUAAAAUCUCUUUUCCAUUAUCCGAAACAAAACUCGAUUAUCAGCCUAUAUCUGAAGUAGUUUUUUUCCUCAUUGUUUCCUUAGAUGUAUCGAUGCUAGACAGACUGGUGAUUUACAACAAUGAGAAGCAAAUGAUUGGAUGGGCAGCAGCUAGUUGUGAUCGGCUUCCUAAGUCCAAAAGAAAUAUCAUUUGAUAAGUAUAAUAGUCUUAUCAUUAUUUCUAUGUCACAGACAUCAUAUACUUGUAUAUAAUAAUAAUAAUAAUAAUAAUAAUAAUAAUAAUAGUCUAUCCUACUUCCUUUGUAAAGGCUACUCUCUCUUUAUAUUUGAUUUGUCAAUAGAAUACAAACUGUACAAGGGUUAUACCCCCACAAAUUCAAUUAAUAAUAUAGUUGUGAAUUUUACUAUAACAUUUUUGUACUCAACUGCACCAAUUUGCUACACAUAUUACAAAAUAGUUCUUUUUGGGGUCAGAAUUGGUGAGAAUUGAAAGUUGAAACUGCCAAACAUGGACUGUUAAUAUCAUGCCUGCACCAACUAGAGAAAACUUGCUGCUGCCAUGGUUCUUGCGCAACAAUUUUCAGUUCUGCCCAUGUCUUCAAGGCUAUAGUUUACAUUUCGGUCAUGGGAAUUUUGUCAUCAAUUAAUCAAAUAAAUUGGUUCUAUAAUCCUUACAGAUAAGAAUUAUCCUACUGUAAUCAUUACAUAUUAACAUGAAAUAGGUUCACAAACUGAAUCACAGCCUUCUUACUUGCAGUAAAAAGCAUCUGAUUGCACCAACCCCCAUAUAUCUGCCUUCUACUUUGCCAAUGUCAGCAAGUCCAAAAUGUCACCCACACGUGCAGACUAUUUUGAAUUGUGGGUCCAGAUACUAACUAAUUCCCAAUAACAAAAUAGAUUUUCUUUUAUUUGGGAAGUGAUGCGAUGACGAUGAUCAAAAUGGCUUCUGUAGAAACAUGAACAUGUCCUGAAGGGGUGAGAGUUGGUCCAUUUGGAACUGAACUUGCGAAGCAAAAGGGUCAUAAUCUUGAAAACCACCGUCCACUAGGUAAUUGAAACCAAAAUCUAAGGCAUUACUGUCCAGCGCAUUCCAGUUGGGUUCACUUUGUACCUCCUUCUCAGGUGAUAGCACGUGCUCCUCCGAGCAACUUGAAUCUGUAUGCAACCUGGGUACUGAAUCAGAUGUUGUAUCCAUAUGUGCUAGUAAAUCAUUAUUGCUACUGUCGUUCAUAAUUGAUGGUCCGAACGUUGAAAUUGCUUUGUCCCCAUAUAUUAAAAUGUCGGGCUUCUGAUCUUCCUCCGCUUCUGGGUAUUUUAACAAUUUUCUAUCUGAAACAGGCUGAUGCUUCUCCAUGCUUCCUUUCUUGUUGUAUACUCGGCAUAGUACCCAAUCAUCAAGCUGCAAUGUCCAAAAUUUAGUCAUGUUUGAUUAUUAAGGAUUCCAAUUAGAGCAGAAGACUGAAGAUUGAUGAUUAAAAUUUACCCUGAGGUUGGUUUUCUUGCCAGCAGACCUAUCAACAUUGGCAAGACGAUACUCAUGCAUGAUCCAGUUAGUCUUGAUUCCUUUCGGGGCUUUGCCAGCAUAAAACACCAGUGCUUUCUUUAUUCCAAGCGGUUUGGGUUUACCGAUGGGUUUAUCCGCUCCUGUUGCUUUCCAGUACCCGCUUCCAGCAGCACGGUUCGGCCUUGACCCGUUUGGAUAUUUUCUAUCCCUUGGAGAAAAGAAGUACCACUCUUUUUCACCAUAUAAAGCCAUUUCUGCAACACAAAUACAAGUAAAGAGAAGAAGAUUUAGAUAUGCUUCAUCCAAAACGCUUGUCCUAACUUUUUAACUAGAAGAAUUCACCGAAUUACCUGGAAGCUGCCAUGGAUCAUGCUUAUAAAGAUCAAUCUCAGCAAUAAUAGGAACAGAAAUCGACUGUCCUGCACAUUUGCGACACAAGUAAUGAUUCACCAAUUCAUCAUCUGUUGGGUGAAAUCUGAACCCAGCUGGUAAAUCUAACUCCGCUCCUUUCAUUUCCACUUCCUUCUCUCUCUUUUGCUUGUUCUCUUCUCUCUUUCCUGUUGCUGCUUUCAGUUCGCUGGAGGCUUUUAGACACGAAAGCAGAGUGAGAGACAGAGAAGAAGGUUAUAUAAGUAUAAAGCUAGUGUCUUUUUUGGGCACGUGGGGUCGUAUCUGUAUAACCAAAACGUGGGUAUUGUCCUAUUCUAUUCCUAGCUGACCGCAGCCGUAGACAUUGACACUUGUUAGCUACUUAAAUCACGGAUUGACACGUGUGGUAGUUUCUGUCAUUGCUUCCGUCACUGCCUUGGCCCCAUUCCAAAGUCGGCUCGUGCCUCUUGGGCAUCGUUGACUGUUCUUUUUCUUAAUUUUUUAUUUGAAUUCUUAGCGAAUUAUGGUCAAUACUAAUCCUCUUGUAUAAAUAUUCAACCAUUAGUAUAAUGCCACGUUUGAAAGUUUUGCUUGAUCCAAAAGACAUCGGAUUUGAGUGGAAAUGUUGGAGCUUCAAAAGUAUGCUCGGUUGUAGGCAAUUGCUUCUUCUUCUUUUUUCUUCAAACGGUAGUAUAAUGACACGUCAUCGUCUUUGGAGCGCACGUAUUGAAACUGACGUCAUCAUUUCUUUUCAUUAUUUAUUUUAUCUACCUUUUCUGAAUAAGAAGAACCGGAACUUUCCCAAAUUUAUUAUUAGAUUACAAGCGUCAUCACUUACAUAUAUAGAAAAAUUUUAUCCACAUGAAUAUCCUUUGACUGCAUGUAUCACCAUUUGAAGGUCUAUUUCAUUCCGGCCUUCAUACGAAUCGAAGUUUCCUCCUUUUUGAUUGGACCCCGAUCUCUAGAUGUUAGCAAUAAUAAUUUAUUUAAGUCUAAAAGCUAAAUUCGCUAAUAAUACACCCUCCUUCUAUUAUGAUUUUUAUUAUUGUAUUAUUUUAUUUAAAUUAAGAAAAUGUUUUAUAAAUUUAACUAUAAAAAAUCAAAUUAAAUUAGAUUCUUUUAAUGUAAAGAUAUAUUAUACGUAUUCUGACAUAAAAAAAAGUAAAAAGAAUUAUAUUUAAUUAAUUUUUUUAAUUUAAAAGAAAUCAAUUGAUAUGAAAUGGAAAAUGUACAAUUUAUUCAGAAAGAGGAAACACAUGGUUAUUCUCAUAAUUGAAGAAGUUUAUAAUUUAAAUAUUUUGCAUAUAGUAAACUAAUAAUUGAUGUGUCACAUUUAGUUAUCACAAGUGUACGUACCGUUUUUAUAGAUAAAGCGGUAAAUUCACUUCGAAAUUGAUCUCUCAAAGAACUAUGAGACGAUUUAUUAUAAAUACUAAUUAUCGAUGGAAAACAAUGAAAGUAAAUAUAAAUACACUAAACCAAUGUUUUUAAAAAAUAAAAUAUUUAUAUAAUAAUUAAAUAAAAUAUAUAUACAAUUGUAUGAUUUUAAUAAAUUAUAUAAUAAAAAUAGUAUUUAACUUAGUCAAUUAUUUAGCAAUCUCCUUGUUUUAAUCUUAAGCAUAGAUCUAAUGAAUAAAAUGGUGAUGUUUCUUUUCAUUUUACUCAAACUAAUAAUGCAACCAAAAUUAUUUAUAUCAACAUAAACUGAAAUAAAGAUAGUGUCUCUAAUAUAUUUAAUUUAAAUAUUUUUAUAACAAUUAUUAUUACUGAAUUAGUAUGAUGAUUAAUCAAUAAAAAUAAAUAAAACUAAUAAACAUAUGUUGAUAAAAAAAAUCAUUCAUUAAAUAAAAAGAUAAUAAAGUUCAUACAAAGUAGUAAAGGCUAAACUACAUACUAAAAAAACUUUAACUUAAUAUAUUUAAUUCCAUGGUCAUAGUAAUUAAAUAGUUAAACAUUAAAAUAAAAUUAAAAAUAAAAGCUCUCUUUAGAUCGAGAAUGUCUUCAAGGUAGGAAGAUGAUUGAUUCUCAUUCUUCAUUUUUUGAAAGCCUUUUUUAAUCUUGAAAGAAUAUUAAAAAAAUAAAAUUAAGUGUUUGAUGAAGAUGAACUGUAGAGAAAACUGCAGAGACAAAAAUAAUGGACAAGUGAUGAAUAAUAAGUUGUAUAGUAGAUAAGAAAGACCUAUCUUUCUCAUUUUUUAGAUUUAGAUUUGCAAAGUUAUGUAUAGAAGAGUCAUCCACCAAGAUAAGUCAGCUUAAAGAUAAGUACAUCUAAGAUAAACCUCUCUUAAGAUAAACAUAUCCAAGAUAAUUCUAUCUAAUAGAUAAGUCUAUAGAUAUCUUUAUCUUCACCAAAUAUUAUUCCAUAAAUAAAUAACUGAUAUAAAUCUUUAAAUAAUAAAAGACUAAAUUGCCCCCUUGUGAAUAGUAAUUUUUUACUAUUAAAUUAUCCAGUUCAUGUGUCUCGGUCUUGACACAAACACGUCCUAUUAGGCCUAUAUUUGAGUAUUUUGCUCCAUAAUUUUCUCUUUUGGUUAAUUUAUUUGAAAAUAGACAAUUAAACUUAAGUGAGAUAAAAACACACAUUUCUACCAUAUUAUAUAUAGAAAACAUAUAAUAAAAGUACUAAAAUAUUUUAAAUAUCUAUAUAUAAUUUGAACCUAUCAAAUACUCCCACACUUAAACCUUUACUUGUCCUCAAGUAAAUAACAACUUAAAAAUUAACCUUUGCAAAAAUCAUGAAAAAUAAUAUACUAAGCUUGAAGACAUUACUUAAAAGAAUCUCACUAAUGCAGUAAUCAUGCCAACUCAAGAACAACUUGAAUUAUACUUUUUUUCUAAAAGUGUGAACUUAAUCAUUGUUAACAAAAGAUUCAAGCAUCCAAUCAUUUAUACUUAUUUUACAACAAAUAGCCUAACUCAUCUUCAAAGGAUACAACUAUGGUGCAUAAUCCAAAUCAUCAUAACCUUAUUCAAAAGGCAAACUUCCAUUCAUAACAAGAGACUAAUAGGUAUACUUCAUAACACUUGUUUUCAAAUCUUUUAAUUUUAUUUUUUUCUUUCUUUACUUCUAUUGAAUUUAAACUUGAUAGUUGGAAAAUUACUUUCUUUCUUGAGAUAUUAUGCCUUUUACGCAGAAUGUACCUGGUUACUCGAUAUAACAUACAAUCAAAAUGCUUUGCAUACUCAUAAUCUCAAUUGUCGUUUUAUAUGAAAACCAAUAUUAGUUAUGAAGAUUCUCGGUUUCUAAGCAACUAAAAUUAGGAGAGUAGAGUUAUUAAACUUAGAGCUACUUAAGUACAUAUAUCAUAUUUCUAUAUUAUAUCUCAUUAAACUUAGGCAAGUCAAUUUAAUAACAAGAAAAUAAUAAUCUAAAUCAUACACUUCUAAUUAUACCCAACUCAAACUUGUCAAACUACUCAUAAUAUUCGUAUGCAAAGAAUGGAUACUUGAUCAUUUAAGUGCAAAUAAAUUCAUGAGUUCACACACAUACAUACACACACAUAUAUAUAUAUAACUUAAGAAUUCAAGGAUCAACACAAUAACAUUCCUUCAUUGACUCUUUAAAUAAAAAAAUAAUAAAAAGCUAAGUAGAAAAAUUUUAAAUUUUGUAAAGAUUACUAAUUCAUAUGGCAUAUAAAAUUUAUUAAAGAAUAUCCUAUUUCUCUCCCCCACACUUAAAUUUGAUAUUGUCCUCAAUGUCAUUACAUAUAUAAAAAUAAAGAACAAGAAAGGAGAAAAAAGAUAAAACACUCUCCUGAAUCUAGCAAUGCGAAGUAAGCUAUGAACUUGAAUUCCAAUCUCCAUCAAUCAAACCUUAGAAGCAUACAUAAACACACAUCAUUGAUUUUUAUAAAAGAAAUUAAAAAAAGAAAAAUGAUUGAAAAUAAUAAUUUGAGUUAUUUAUAUCAACAAUAAAAAUGAAAAACAAUCCUAAAGAAACUAAAAAGAUAAAAUCAUAAGGUAAAUAAAAAGAAAUCUUAAAAUAACUAAAUAUAAACCCUAUAAUAAAUCCUAAAACAAAGUCCUAAAUCAAUGACAUAACUAAGUAUGUGAAAGAGAUGAAUAUAUAUUUAGUGUUUGAAGGAAGUAUUUUAACCUAAAAGAACUUAAUUUUUGUAUAUAUCUCAAUUACUCUUUAUUCUCUUAAUUAGUAUAUUUAAUUUUAAAUCAAAAUUAGCUAAAGGGGUGUUGGGAUCGCGUCAUUCGCGACCCAGCGGUUGCACCAAGGCAACAACGCCUGCUUACCUUGUGGAAGGACUCCACGACCUAUAGAGAGAUGGCUCGUGAUCUGUCGAAAGGCGCCUCGCUCCCUGCUUGUCUCGCUCGCAAAAUGUUGUUGCAACCUCAUUGCUAGCCUACGAUGCGCUCUGCAAUCAAGAAGGGCUCCCGCAAGUUGGCAAAACUAUGCAGGUUUGCUCGCAAUUUGUUUUCGUGUAAAAUCUAAUCUACACCUAGGUUUGAUUUUUGACAUAUUAAAGGUAAAUAAAUGAUGAAAAGUAUAGAAUUUGAAUGAAAGUAAAAAUAAAUAUAAUUUAAAUAACUAUAAAUAAAGAGAUGGACAAAUAAAUAAAAUUAAACUUUAUUAAAAUAAAAAAAAGGAUAUAAUAUAAUUCAAAAUAAUUUUGACACUAGUGACAAAUAUAUUAAAAAAAAGAAAUCAGUCCUAAUCCCACAAGGAAAGAGACAUGUCUAAGCUCAUUUAGUCCCCAAAUAUUAUUUUUCUAAUAAUGAAUCAAACAUUCGAUGCAUAAUAAACACAUAAUAUCCAGGCCAAUGAAACAUGAAAGCAUAAGAUUGAAAAAUGAAUUGACUUGUUACCACAUGGAAAAAUUAUAUACUUUAAGAAUCUUAAAGUACAAAUGUUGAUAGGCCUAUAAAAUAAACAUAAAACACAAAAUUUAAAAAUAAAAGAAGAGAAAAAUAAAAAUAACUUAAAUGUAUAAAAAUAAAAUAUAAUUGCUAAGUUUAUUGUCUAUAUUUAGACAUUCUUGAUUAUGCUUAAGGUGGGUUCAUUAUGCACUCCGCCUCUUGGCCAUAAGCCAUUUUUUUCAAGUACGGAUUUAUACUCUUAAUGGAAAUAUCUAAAGUAUCAUGGAAGUUCUUAUCAAUUAACAAUAGAAUAACAUAAUUUAAUUUUUUAUAAACAAGAGAAUCUAAAUAAUCGAUAUAUGAACACUCAUAAUGGUAGUUAAAGAAUUAAAUACUUUAAAUUCCAUGGUUUCUCUUAAAACUGUAAUGGUAAAUUUUCUAUUAUGCACAUCAAUCACAGUUAUGGUAGUUGAUGAAACGCCUACCAAAGAGAAUAGUUUGCUCUUUAUUCAUCGCUAGUUUAUUUUCCAUAUUAAUUGACCUGGUUGAACUAGCAAGUCUUCCACUAUACUUUAAAAAUAUUUUAUUAACUUAUCGGCAAAUUGUAGAGACAUGGUGGUUGGCUUCAACUCUCCAAAGGCAAGUUGUGCAUAUAUCGAAUUAGGCAUCAAGUUGACGUUUGCUCCCAAAUCUAACAAGAUUUUUGUAAUCUUCUUCUCACCCAUAAUAAUAUUAAUGGUGUAGCUACCAUAAUCCUUCAUUUUAAGAAGCAUUUUCUUUUUCUGAUGUCGAAUAACUGCACUUUCUUUUUUGAUAUUUUUUCUUUUUUAUUGUUUGCAUAUCUUCUUUUAUUGGUGUCCAACUCUUUAAAGAACUUUACAUAUGUUGGCUUAUUCUUAAUAACAUACAACAAAAGGUAAAUUAGUAUUAACCUUAGAGAGCAUCUCAAUAUUUUCAGAAAAUUACUUUAUCCUUUUUGCUAUUUUUGAGUCAGUUUAGAAAAGGAAUAGGUGGUUUAUAAGGCUGAGCUGCCUUAUAGAAUUCAGGUAUAGAAAAUGCUUCUUUUUCUUUUUUCUGAAGCCCAAGAAUAGGCUCUAAUUUUUCUUCUUUUUGCAUUCUCUCUUCAUCGAUUCUAUUUUCAUUAGUCCAUCAUCUUUAAGUGUACCUACAUAAUAAGAAGAAGAAUCUUUUUCAUAUCAACUUGAUUAUCAACAACCUUACCAUUAUUAAUAAUGGUAAUAGCAUUGAUUUGUUCAGGUUGACCUAGUGGUUUCUCUUUCUUGAUCGCUUAAAUUGCUUCAAUAAUUUUUUCUAUUUGAGUUUUUAAGUGUUUCAUUGAAGCUUCAAUAAAGUUUGUUCUUUUCUCAUUCCUCUCCAUCCUAUUGAUACACUCAUUUUAUGCAUAGUAAUUUAGUAUUUUAUAUAGUUAAUUAUGAUAAUUCAAUAUGUGAUUGGAGUGAGAUUAUCAUGAAGUUAUUCACUUGGUUGAGUUAUUUAUAAUUUCAGGUAAUAUUAAUAAAAGGGAGGAGUUUUAAAUUUAAUAAAGCAAGUUAAGGAAGAUUGGAGAGCCUAGAAGUAAAAAGGAGCAUACUGGAAACACAUCAACAAAGAUAGAGCUUCUGCGAGGUCACACGAAGCGCGAAGAAGAAACUUACUAACGCAAGUGCCAGACUCCUUCUGAGGUAGCGGGGGGCACCGAUUUCAGCACUACAAAUUUUAGUCUUAUUUUAUAUAUUUUUGGAUUUUUAGAUCCUUUUAUUAGCCUAGGCUAUAUAAACAUUAAUAGAGGUAUUUUCUUAGGUAUUUUAGGAUAGAUCCUAGGGUUAAAAGGCAAAUUUUUAAAGUUAGAAAAAGUGACUAGGGCAAGGAUUGAAGAAGAUCAAAAGGUCAAGAUUGUAAGAAUUCCAUUAAGAUCCAAGAGUUCUUUCUUCCCUUCUUGUUUUACUUUAUUGUUAUUAUAUUCAAUGAAUUCAAUUAUUGUUAUAAGUUAUAAUUAUAUUAUAAAUCGCUAAUUUUAUUUUCUAGAAUUGGAUGGAAACCUAUUAAUCUUAUUCUAUAAUUUGAUUCAGUAAUAUUCCUUGAUUCUUGAUUUAAUUGUUUUGACUUAUUAUAUGUGUUUCAUGUGAUUGUGAAUAUAAAGGCCUAAUAUUUGUAGUAGAUCUAGAUUUUAGACAAAGUUUAUGAUAAUUGAAGUUUGAUAUUAGUUUAAGGAAUAUUAAGUAAGGACUAUGAAGGCUUAGACAUAAAUCUUAGAUUCUUAAGAUUUGCUUUAAUUUUUCAUAAAAUUUAAAGGAUUUAGAUUAAUAGAAUUGACCAUGACAAUAGGCAAGAAAUUAGUCUAAAUAUGGUGAGUAUGGUUUGAAAUAAUAUAUUUACUAAUUUGGGAUAAAUUAUCUUCAAGAUCGUUAAGUUAGACUCAAAGGAUAAUUAAUCAAAUUAUAGAAGAUUAAUGUGAUGGGGACUUAGUUCUAAGUUUUAUAUUAAUUUGAUUUCUUUAUUACAANNNCCUAAAUAAUUGUUAAUCUAAUUAGUAUAAAGUUAUAAUAUAUUUUGGUUCUAAGAACUACAAAUCUUUAUGGGAUGAUAAUCUAGAUUCUUUCCUAUAUUAUUAUUGUGGCAACUUUACUCUUGUAAGAAUUAUCACAAGACCUAUCAUGAGAAGCCAUCGUAAAUGAUUGAAGUGUUUCUUUCAAACUUAGCUUCCUUUGCUCGUUAAAUUGAAAAGUUUAUUCUUGAUUUUGAAAGGAAAGAUUUGAGUUCCUUUGGAAUUUAGAAUAUUGAUCUUAGUAAUGAGGCUGAUUUGGAUUUCUCAAUAAUUGUGAUGAAUUUUGAUCAUUAUUUCUACAUGAAAAAUCCGAAUGGUUUCUCCAACCUGGAUUGUAUGUGUUAGAAUAAAGGUUAUUUAUAGACUGCCUAGGUUGGUAAGAAUCUAUCAAAUUAAGCUGCUCAAACUCAUUUCUUGAAUAAGUAUCAAAAGAUGAGCACACAUUAGCACAAUGAUCAUAAAUACCACAACUAUCACAUACCUUAUUACUUUGUGCAUUUUUUGUUAAAGCAAGUAUCUUAACUUGCUUGGUUAACUCAGUUAUUUGCAUGGCCAUCUCAUAACUAGCUACUAUUUUAUUCACUCCUAUUCUUUUUAUCCUCACAGUCUUUUAUUGAGAAUUAGCUUCUAAUAUCUCAAAGAUGUCAUAAAUCUCAUCAGUUAUCUUUUUUAAUAUAGCAACUCACUUGCAUUAUCAACCAUAUAUUAAUAUUGUUAUGUCAAUCCAUCAUAAAAAUGAUUGGUUAGUCAAGUGUGUAUCCAUGGCGUUGGCACUGGAAUAUAAGUGAUUUAAAGCGAUCCUAUGCUUCAUGAAAGAAUUAAGUAUCCUUUUGAUAAAAAUUUAAAAUUUCAGCUUUUAAUUCUUUGGUCUUUUGAUGUGAGUAAAACUUACUUAUAAAAGUUUGGUAAACUUCAUUCCAAAUCUUCAAAGAAUUAUGAGACAAGGUUAUUAACCAAGCCUUUGCUUUUUCUUUCAAUGAAAAAGAGAAACACCUCAUUCUCAAUUGGUCCUAAUUUAAUCCAGAUAAUGAAAAAGUAUAAACUAUAGCAUAAAAUUCUCUAAUGAAUGUCGGCGCAUCCUCACUAGGCAUACCAUAAAAUUAAGGAAGCAUGUUAAAAUAAAUGUUUUUAAGUUUAUAAUUCCUAGAUGCAUCACCUAGAACUAUGAAUGAAGUAGUAUUAUUAAUUAUAGGCUGUCACAAUCUUUCACAGCCAUUUACCUUUAAGAAGCUACUUCUCUUUGUGGGUUUGCAAUAACUUAACCUCUUCUUUUGAUUCUUCUUCAAUUUUCUCUUUAAUCUCUUCUUCUACAUUUUGAGGCACAAACUUUCAAUUUUUUUUAUCUUCUUUUGUCUUUUUAAUAGCUGAUAUCAAAUUGUAGAAAGUUUGAGUUGAUGAAUCAUUUAAUUUCGUUUUCUUGCUAGGUAUACAGAACAAAACAAAAACUUCAGAUUUAAUAACUUAAAAAUAAAAAUAACAAAAUAAAACACAAACACAAAAACACAAAAAAAACUUGAUAAUCAAUCAAUAUAAUAAAAUUUGGAUAUAGUUCUCCAGUAACAACGCCAAAAAUUUGAUAUGUCAAAUUUAGUACUUACAACUGCAUGAAUCGUUUUUAUAGUAAAGCGGUAAAUUCACCUCGAGGUUGGUCUCUCAAGAAACUAUGAGACCACUUAUAAUAAAGACUAAUUAUCAACAUAAAAUAAUAAAAGUAAUUCUAAAUACUUUAAACUAAUAUUUUGAAAGAAUAAAAUAUUCAUAAAAUAAUUAAAUAAAGUAAUAAUGUAAAUAUAAAAUGAUAUAAUUUUAAUAAAUUAUAUGAUAAAAGUAGUAUUUAGCCUAGCCAAUUACUUAGUACUCCCCUUGUUUUAACCUUAAGCAUAGAUCUAAUAAAUGAGAUGGUGAUGCUCCUUUUCCUUUAUAUACUCAAGCUAAUGAUGCAACUAAAGUUCCUUAUAUCAGUAUAGAGUGAAGCAAAGAUGAUGUCUCUAAUACAUUCAACCUAAAUAUUUUCAUAACAGUUAUUAUUAUUGAAUUAUUAUGAUAGUUAAUCAAUAAAAAUAACUGAAACUAAUAAAGAUAUGGUUACAAACUAAAGUCUUGAGAUAGUUGACAUAUGGCUUUAACCUUUCUUCCUUCACAUUCCAUUCUUUGAUUGCUUGUUAAAUUACUAGCAUGGAGUCCUCGUAGACCAUCACCUACUUCACUCAUGCUACUAUUGCCGCUUCUAAUCCAAUUAAAUGUGAUUCGUACUCCGCCAUGUUAUUUAUCACUCUAAAGUCCAAUCUUUUAGCCAGUAGUAGCAUCUCUCCUUCUAGCAUAAUCAGAGCUACCCCUAACUCUGCACCUCUUGCAUUCACUACCCCAUCAAAGUACAUCUUUCAUUUUUGAAUCUCGACUGCCCCUAGAUUUUCAUUAGGAAACUCCAUAUCCCAAGGGUCGUCUCCCUCGAUUAAAUUCUGAGCCAAGAAUUCCGCUACAACCUUAUCCUUGACUAUUUUCUCGGUGACGUACUCGAUGUCGAACUCUGUUAGGAGUAAAACUGUCUAGCCAGCUCUCUUGUAAGAGACGGAGCUUCAAAUAGAUACUUCAACUGGUCUUUUUUAAAAAUUGCUUGCACCUUAUAAGACUGAAAAUAGUGUCUCAAUUUUCUCGUAGCCCGUAUUAUGGCUAACCACGUCUUCUUCAUAAGGUUAUACUUUGACUCACAAGGUAGCAUUUCUUACUAAGAUAAUAGAUUGUAUGCUCUACAUCAUUAGGCACACACUACGAUAUCAUUGCCCCCAUGGCUUUCUCUUUUAAGGUCAAGUAUAGAAUCAACAUCUUACCAUCCUUUGGCUGCUUCAAUACUGACGGCUUCAUCAAAUACUCUUUAAUUCUAUCAAAAGCUCUUUGACAGUCCUCAUCCCACACAACGGGUUUAUGUUUUUUCAAAAGUUUGAAGAUAGAAUUACAAACCAUUGUGAGUUUAGAAAUGAACCUACUGAUGUAUUGUAGACAUCCUAGAAAUCCUUUGACCUAUUUCUCUGUUUACGAUGCUGGCAUCUCCUAAAUAGCCUUUACCUUGUCCGGAUCGAUCUCUAUUCCCUGCUGACUCACUAUAUGCCCUACCAACUUUCUUGACAUUACUCCGAAUACACUCUUUUUUGGAUUGAGCCUCAAGUUAUAUCUUUCUACUCGUCCUAAAAACUUAUCCAGAGCCUGAAAGUAUCCUUCUCUUGUUCCAAACUUAUCAUCAUAUCAUCUACAUACACAUUCGCCUUCUUGUGCAUCAUGUCGUGAAACAAGGUAGUGGAUGCUUGAUAGGCAUCAUAUUACACAUAUUGACAUGCCCAAUUGUUUACAUUCUUAUGCAUAAUUAUCUUGUUUUAUGCUAGAAUCACCUGUCUUUUGGUUCCUUUCACGUUUCAGGUUAUUAUCGAAGGACAUUGUCAAUAAUCGAGGGAAAUACGCGUAAUUAUGGACCAGAAUCCAUCAAAUUGAGCAAGAACUAGCAUUCCAAGGCUGAGCACGGCCUAGACUCCGGCCGUGCUGAAUUGUCAAGAAGUUGCCCCUAGAAGUGCCAUUUUGGCAAGGUUUCCGCCGUGGUGGCUCAACACUAGCUUGGGCACGGCCUGGAAGAGGUCAACAGAACUGAAUGCGCAGAUUCAGCACGGCCUGGACUCCGCCUGUGCUGACCAGCACAGGCUUGACCACGGCCGUGCUGAAGAGCAUAUAUAGGCAAAAACGAUUUGGUGAAUGAGGGUUCGAUCUUCUGACUUGAUUUCCAUUAUACGAACUCAAAUCACUUGUUUCCAGACCUCAAUUGUCAACUUUGGAAGAUUAAUCUCAUCAAUUGAAGGAAGUAUUACACUUGUUUUAACAUCGAUUUGAAGAUCAAGACAAUAUUUGGGAGCAUUCAAGAGGUAAAUUAAGGUUUGAUAUUUUGAAUUGGAAAAUUAGGGUUUCUCAUCCAACUUGAAAGAGAAGGUGUACAUGCCUUUAAUUUACUUUUCUGAUUUUAUUCCUUAUUUUAUGAUGCUUAUUAGUAUGAGUAGCUAAAUUGUUGAACCCAAUUGGGGUUCCUAUGUUUGUGGAUUGAUCUUAAUGUUAUGAGAUUUUGGUUGUCAAUUCUUGAUUCUUCUUGCUUUUAUUAUUAAUGAGAAGUCACUUUAUUC